rnacentral:lncRNA from 1 species
CCACAAAAGCAUUUGGUUCUUCACAUAAUCAAUAGCAACAUCAUUGCCCGACGCAUUAUCAACAGUUAUUGCACACACCCUCUCUAUUCCCCAUUCAAGCAAACAAGACUCAAUCUUUUUGCCAAUGGACUUCCCUUUAUGGUCUUCAAUCACGCUGAAACUAAUAAUCUUCCUAUGUAAACACCAAUCACUAUCAAUAAAGUGAGCUGUGAUUACCAUAUAACUCAUGUUCUGAACUGAAGUCCAUAUGUCAGUUGUAAGAGACACUCUAUGCUUAUUCUUACAUAUCAAACUCUUCAAAAUUCCCUUUUCUUCCAAGAACAUAUCCAUAACAUCUCUACUAAUAGUUCUCCGAGAUGGCAUAAUAAACUGAGGAACAGCUACAUUGCAAAAAUGCCUAAACCCUUUGUUGUCAACAAAAUUAAGCGGCAACUCGCCCAAGAUAAUCAUUUUACUGAGUGCCCUUCUAUAAGCUUCUUGACUCAAUCCUUUGGCCAAAACCAUAUUACUUGCAUUUCCUUCACCACUCUUAGCUGCCAAUUUUUGUUGUCUUUCAUCUUGCUCUCGCUUCACGUUCAAGUAUGCUUCACACACUUUUAAAUGAAUUCCCAUAUUGCUAAUCCCAUCAAACCUAGGAUGGCACUGAUAUAUCUUGCCACAAUAGUUGCACUUUGCUUUAUAUUGAUUGUCCUCAAGUACAGUGUAAUGAUUCCAUGUCUCAGAUCUUUUCUUUAUUGGUCGUCUCUGAGUUGGAUUCUUCCGCUUUGUAUUUGUCUUUUCUGUGGGUACUUGUACACUUUCAACUUCAUCAUCAUCAUUGGAAUUUGAUUUUGAAUGUCCAGUCAUCUGAAAAUACAAAAAUCAUAUCAAUCAUCAUUGUUCUGUAACUUCCGUUUAUGAAUUUUCAACUAAAAAAUAAAUAUAACUUUUGACUAUAUAUAAUCUCUUCAGCCUAGCUUACUAGCUAUACAAAUUCAUUUAUCAAAUUAUUAUUUGGAAAUAAAGCAAUUAAUGACAUUAACUUAUCAUAAAAUAAUUCUACUACCACAAUGUACGGUAUGAAGUUGAAUUUUUAAUUUUAAAGAAUUGAUAUUGUUCCUUAGUUUAUUAAUAAUUAAUAAACUAAUGUUAUAAAUGAAUAAUCAUACAUUAAAUAAUGAUGAUUAUUUAAUAAUUAAUAAAUUUGAAUUUUACAUCAAUACAUAUUCAUGUCUUUCUCAACUAAUAUUACAAAUGAAUAAUCAUACAUUAGAAAAAAUAAAAGGAAAAAACAGAACAAUUCAAGAACAAUAAAUUUUUUAAUUUCCAAGUUUCAAACAAAUCGCAUAAAUACAGAUGUGUUAGGCCUUGAGAGAGAAUAGAGAGGUUGAAGAAAGCAAGAGAAAGGGGAAGAAAAACCCUUAAACCCGUGAGAAAGCGGCUAGCCGCUUGCAAACUGCCCCCAAACCAUUUGGGGGCAUUUUCGAAUUUUCAUUUUCCAAGCGGUUACCAACUUACCCGCAAGGCCGCAAUGCAACUAAAAAAACCCUAAAAGUCGAAAAGAAGCAUGAAAUUCUAAGUGAGUUGUGUUAACUUUCAAUUGUCAUGGGUCGGGUUUAAUUGCUUACCAUGAAUAAAGUUGCUAGGUGCUCGGGAAUAGUGGAAGUGGAUUAUCGGCAUUUGGCGUAGCAACUGGCCGGCGCUGGACGUGAUCAGUUCGGUGGUUGAAGAGACAGUUGUCAGCUGGGUUUCAACUGGGUUUAGGUUGAUUAAUUGGGUUCUGUUCGCCUGGGUUUCAGUCGAAAUCGGCUAGCUUCCAGUUGAUUGGUGUCAACGGGCCAGCGGCAGCUGAGUUUUGGCAUGGUCGUUGCUCAUUAAUGGGUUCAAGACGGAUGACGGGAUGAAGCUGGUUUUGGCAUUUUGCUUUUGCUCUGCUGCUCAUGCUCGCUGAGUCCUAUGUCUUUUGUUAAUGUCAGUUUGACAGUUUGAGUUGGUACUUGGCUCAGUUGGCUGUGACCUGUGCUGUGAGUCUAUGACUGAGAUGUAAGAUCUGAGAGUGAGUGAACAAUGUGAGGUGUGAACUGGUGAGUGGUGACUGACUGACUGGACUAGUGAUCCGAAGGCCGAAGUCCGAAUCCGAACAUGAGUUAAACUUAUUUUUUAGCACUUUAGCUUAUUUAUUUAAUUUUUUUUUUGUUUAUAGUGCAUAUCCGAUCGAAUGAUUCGGAUUGAUCCGAAUCCGAUCUGAUCCAAACCAAAUCCGAUCGGAUCCCACAAACUUCAUAGAGCUUUGGACAUCCUGAAUUUUGACUUAAUGUUGCCUUUGACAUGGUAAAAAUAAAUUCCGUAAGCAGCAGUGUGAAAUGCUUUCAAAAUGGCUCUCUUAAUCUUUCCGUGUAACUUUAUCAUAAACCAUUCUCAAGCAUCAUUAUUUUCUGAAUCCAUGACCCCAAUAGCUAACGGAUACAGUUGAUUAUUACCAUCCAGAUAUGUUGCUACAAACAUGCUUCCACGAUAUAGCCCCUUUAGAUGAGUGUCAUCUACAACGAUCACAGACCUACUGUACUACGUGAAGCCCUUGAUAGAAGAUCCAAGUGCUAUAAUGUAUUAUAAGAAAUUAUCAUUUCCAUCCCGCUUCCAUCCCGCUCGAGGUGUGUGACUGUACCCUCAUUCGUUUUGGUCAAAACGUGAGAGUAUUUGGGAAGUAAAUUGUAUGACUCAGCAGGGCUCCCUCGUACUAUUUCAAGACCGACUAUUUUAGCUCGGUAUGCUUGCUGAUAUGUUAACUGGACAUCGUAUUCAUCCUGCAUGUCUGCUCUAAUGUCAUUCGGCGUGUAUAUCCAUUUGUCCUGAAUAAAUUUAUCCGCGAUAAGAUGGCCAACAACCCGACUCCUUACUUGAAGGAGACCACUAGGCAAUAUCUCAUUAGAGCACGUGUGAACAUUGUCAACUCUUCUCACUACCCAAGGGACAUUCUACUCAUUUGAAUCUCUCAUUGCGCGAAGAUGCCAUUUACAUGAUUCUGAAGAACAGUGGGCCUCAAAGUGUGUCGUUAUGGAUCGUGCAAUCUUGAAAUCAAACUUUUCCCGCAAGGCCACUUUGCCCAAUUCCAGUAUUAACUCAUUCUUCUCAGCGAACAACUUACCCACACCAAUGUCAGCUAAAUUACAACUUCUAACUAAGUUUGGAGCAACCAAGUUUGAAGGCAAAUCUGGAGCAAGACUCACGAGGGGAUUAACUGUUGUCCUCCUCCUCGAACGGGCCAUCGGAGGAAUAGGUUGGUUGUCUCUAUUAUUAAUAGGAAUAUCAUACCGAUACUCAUCCUCAUCAUUGAUAAGAAUAUUGGAAUGACCAAUACCCUUAUCAUCAACUUCAAUAUUGGAGUUCAUGCCUUGCAUACUAUUGAACGGUUCCAAACAAGCAUUAUCAUAACUGCGGACGUCAUAACUGCGGAUAAUCAUUAUUGUGAAAUGGAGAGUAAUGUUGCCCUAACAAUGUCCCUAAUGGUAACACAUCUUCUUCAACAUCCACUAACGUAAUGUCGUUCUCAUCAAUUGUGUCAUUGUUUUCGUUGAGUGGAGAGUAACGUUGUUAGAACGACAUUUUCUGUGGUAACACCUCUUCCUCAAUAUUGGGGACAGAUGUUAUACGCCAAACAUGGACACAUGUAGCCCAAGUAAUGAUUUUCAGAAAAUAGCUUAAAUUUAGUGGGACAGGCAGUGGGACAAGUGCUUGUCUCACAUAAAACCAGUGGAAACAAGUGAGACAGGCAGUGGGACAGGCGCCUAUCUCACAUAAAACCAGUGGGUUUAUGUACGACAGGCGUCUAUCUCAUUUGUUCUGGGUUUUUUUUUUUGCUUGAUUUUUUAAGGGUUUCAAUGAUUUAUCUUCAUUUCUCAACUCAAACUAAGUACUUUAACAAAUCACUUUGUUUUAUUAAUGAAAAAUAACAACUUUUGCAACAAAAACCCACUUUAAUUUCGAACUUAAAUGAUAAAAUCAAUAGAUUAAAAGUUUAGGUUAUGGUAAGAGCAUAAACUAACCUUAAGAAGCUCUCAAAUUGAUAAUUAUAUCUUCAAUUAUGCAAUGCUUGUUUGAUGGAAUUUGUUGAUUUAUUGAGAGUGAUGGAGUUUGUUGAGAGUGAUGAAGUUUGUUAAGUUGUUAAGGAAGAUCCGUAUUUAGUUGUGCUGGAAUUGAAAAAGUGGCAUACCUUUGUAAAUUUGAUGAAAGUGAUGAAGGUAAUUUAAUCCAAAAAUAGGAUGUUUGGCUAGUUAUGAUAGAAAAAACUUUGGGAGGUCAAAGUUGAAAAAUGCAAAAGUUUUAUGGCUAUUUUUAUAAAUUUUCCUAAAAUAAUGAGGAGCCUAUUCCCGCUAAAAGAGACAUGACAUUAACGUGUUAGCACAAACAACCAUUAAUUAAUUUUAUAAUAUAUAAUUAAUUAAAUUUGUGAUCAAGUAAAAGCAUAUUAAUAUAAUUAUUCAAACAAUCUAAAGAGAAAUUUAGUCAAGAUUGACGGGCGAAAUUAUAAUUUCCAAGGAACUUUUUAUGAGAUAUACUAAAUUAAAACAUUUAGUUUAUCAUUACUAGGAUCUUCAAUCGGGUCAAGUAAGUAUCUUUCCACCUCGGUCGUCACAAGCUUGCCCUCGUUUUGAAUUAAAACUUUCUUAGCAUAUCCAAGAAAAGGGCGAGCAACUCGUAAAGUAUCAUCACCAUGUUCCAUUAUGUACCCUUGUUGCCGAUCCGUGUCAUCUAUAAGGUGCAGAGAAGAACUAGAACCGCCACCACCACCACUGGCACUGCCACUAGGAAAACUCUCACUAGGCAAUGGUGGUGAGGAGUUCCAUCCACUAUAUGCAUCAAAAAGUGAAUUCAACAAGCCUUUCAUCACCGCGACCAUUUCUUCAAUCUUUGCACUAUCAUCUGAAAAAAUCAUACUAAAAAUAUGUUUAGUAAAAUUCAUUUUGCAGCGCGGAUUAAGUAUUGAGGCAAUAAUCAAGAUUUUGUUGAUUUUCUCCGUGCACUCCAAAUAUUUGUCAUAUUUUUCCCUCAUACUAGAAGCCAUCAAAUGCACAUAAACAUUUUUGUUUUUUUCUAAUGCACUCAAUGAAUUCUCGAUUAAGCCAAUUGUAUCGUAACAAAGAUUAGAAGUGACACUCAAAGAGGCUAAAAAAGUCAAUGUAGCAUCAUAAAAGAUCUUUAAAAACCUCACAAUUCUUUCGGCAUGUUCCCAAUCUUCAAGCUCAGGUGGCCCCACCCUUUUUUCCCAUUUUCUUCCUCUCUAAAGUAUGCUUCAUUGAGAUGGCAUAAUAAACUGAGGAACAACUACAUUGCAAAAAUACCUAAACCCUUUGUUGUCAACAAAAUUAAGCGGCAACUCGCCCAAGAUAAUCAUUUUACUGAGUGCCCUUCUAUAAGCUUCUUGACUCAAUCCUUUGGCCAAAACCAUAUUACUUGCAUUUCCUUCACCACUCUCGGCUGCCAAUUUUUGUUGUCUUUCAUCUUGCUCUCGCUUUACGUUCAAGUAUGUUUCACAUACUUUUAAAUGAGUUCCCAUAUUGCUAAUCCCAUCAAACCUAGGAUGACACUGAUAUAUCUUGCCACAAUAGUUGCACUUUGCUUUAUAUUGAUUGUCCUCAAGUACAGUGUAAUGAUUCCAUGUCUCAGAUCUUUUCUUCAUUGGUCGUCUCUGAGUUGGAUUCUUCCGCUUUGUAUUUGUCUUUUUUGUGGGUACUUGUACACUUUCAACUUCAUCAUCAUCAUUGGAAUUUGAUUUUGAAUGUCCAGUCAUCUGAAAAUACAAAAAUCAUAUCAAUCAUCAUUGUUCUGUAACUUCCGUUUAUGAAUUUUCAACUAAAAAAUAAAUAUAACUUUUGACUAUAUAUAAUCUCUUCAGCCUAGCUUACUAGCUAUACAAAUUCAUUUAUCAAAUUAUUAUUUGGAAAUAAAGCAAUUAAUGACAUUAACUUAUCAUAAAAUAAUUCUACUACCACAAUGUACGGUAUGAAGUUGAAUUUUUAAUUUUAAAGAAUUGAUAUUGUUCCUUAGUUUAUUAAUAAUUAAUAAACUAAUGUUAUAAAUGAAUAAUCAUACAUUAAAUAAUGAUGAUUAUUUAAUAAUUAAUAAAUUUGAAUUUUACAUCAAUACAUAUUCAUGUCUUUCUCAACAAAUAUUACAAAUGAAUAAUCAUACAUUAGAAAAAAUAAAAGGAAAAAACAUAAUAAUUCAUGUCUUGCUCACGGGUUUGGGGACAGUUUGCAAGCGGCUAGCCGCUUGCUCUUAGGUUUGGGGGCAUUUUGCAAGCGGCUAGCGGCUUGCUCUCGGGUUUGGCCCAAACCAUUUGGUGGCAUUUUCGGAUUUUCAUUUUCCAAACAGUUACCACUUACCAACUUACCCGCAAGGCAACAAAAAAAUCCCUAAAAGUCGAAAAGAAGCAUGAAAUUCUAAGUGAGUUGUGUUAACUUUCAAAGUUUCAAUUGUCAUGCGUCGGGUUUAAUUGCUUACCAUGAAUAAAGUUGCUAGUUGCUCGAGAAAUAAUGGAAGUGGAUUAUCGGCGUUUGGCGUGACAACUGGCCGGCGCUGGAUGUGAUCAGUUUGGGUGGUUGAAGAGGCAACUGUCAGCUGGGUUUCAGCUGGGUUUAAGUCGAUUAAUUGGGUUCCGUUCGCCUGGGUUUCAGUCGAAAUCGGCUAGCUUCCAGUUGAUUGGUGUCAGUGGGCCGGCGGGAGCUGAGUUUUGGCGUGGUCGUUACUCGUUAAUGGGUUGAAGACAUAUGACGGGAUGAAGCUGGUUUUGGCAUUUUGCUUUUGCUCUGCUGCUCGUGCUCGCUGAGUCCUGUGUCUUUUGUUAAUGUCAGUUUGAGUGUUUGACAGUUUGAGACUUUGAGUUGGUACUUGGCUCAGUUGGCUGUGACAUGUGCUCAGUGUGUUGUGAGUCUGUGAUUGAGAGUGAGAUGUAAGAUCUGAGAGUGAGUGAACAAUGUGAAGUGUGAACUGGUGAGUGGUGACUGCGCUGGUGAUCCGAAUUCCGAAGUCCGAAGUCCAAAUCCGAACAUGAGUUAAACUUAUUUUUUUAGCACUUUAGCUUAUUUAUUUAAUUUUAUUUUUUUUUGUUUAUAGUGCAGAUCCGAUCGGAUGAUUCGGAUUGAUCCGAAUCCGAUCCGAUCCGAACCAAAUCCGAUCAGAUCGCUCAAACUUCAUCCAAUCGGAUUUGCCUUCAAAUCCAAAUCCGAUCCGAUGCCCACCCCUAGUUAUAACCUUCUCAUAGAAAUAAAAUUAGUUGAUCACAACAUUAUAACUAUGAAAAGGUUUUACUGUAUCAAUUGAGUGGAUAUAAUGCUCUUUUACCAUUUGUUGGGAGGGAAAAUCUAUUUAGCUUCAGGAACAAAGUUACGAGUGCUUUACCAAAGAGUAAUGUUGGGGAUCUCAAUAGUUGAGUCCCAAUUGGACUCUUAAUUGAUGCGCCAUGUAUCUAUUGGAUGAUAAAAUAUUAUUUUUUCUAGUUGAAACGCCCAAUUUAUUAAGGUUUGUCAAAACCUGGUGUAAAAAAUUAUCAGCAAUAGAUUUAAGGGAAAAAUGGUCAUUUUAGUAUUUUCGCAUUUCCAGAUGAGUAAAAGAAUGUUAUUUUUGGAUUCCGGAGGGUCAAGAACCUUAGCAAUCAAAUUAUUAUUUGGAAAUAAAGCAAUUAAUGACAUUAACUUAUCAUAAAAUAAUUCUACUACCACAAUGUACGGUAUGAAGUUGAAUUUUUAAUUUUAAAGAAUUGAUAUUGUUCCUUAGUUUAUUAAUAAUUAAUAAACUAAUGUUAUAAAUGAAUAAUCAUACAUUAAAUAAUGAUGAUUAUUUAAUAAUUAAUAAAUUUGAAUUUUACAUCAAUACAUAUUCAUGUCUUUCUCAACAAAUAUUACAAAUGAAUAAUCAUACAUUAGAAAAAAUAAAAGGAAAAAACAUAAUAAUUCAUGUCUUGCUCACGGGUUUGGGGACAGUUUGCAAGCGGCUAGCCGCUUGCUCUUAGGUUUGGGGGCAUUUUGCAAGCGGCUAGCGGCUUGCUCUCGGGUUUGGCCCAAACCAUUUGGUGGCAUUUUCGGAUUUUCAUUUUCCAAACAGUUACCACUUACCAACUUACCCGCAAGGCAACAAAAAAAUCCCUAAAAGUCGAAAAGAAGCAUGAAAUUCUAAGUGAGUUGUGUUAACUUUCAAAGUUUCAAUUGUCAUGCGUCGGGUUUAAUUGCUUACCAUGAAUAAAGUUGCUAGUUGCUCGAGAAAUAAUGGAAGUGGAUUAUCGGCGUUUGGCGUGACAACUGGCCGGCGCUGGAUGUGAUCAGUUUGGGUGGUUGAAGAGGCAACUGUCAGCUGGGUUUCAGCUGGGUUUAAGUCGAUUAAUUGGGUUCCGUUCGCCUGGGUUUCAGUCGAAAUCGGCUAGCUUCCAGUUGAUUGGUGUCAGUGGGCCGGCGGGAGCUGAGUUUUGGCGUGGUCGUUACUCGUUAAUGGGUUGAAGACAUAUGACGGGAUGAAGCUGGUUUUGGCAUUUUGCUUUUGCUCUGCUGCUCGUGCUCGCUGAGUCCUGUGUCUUUUGUUAAUGUCAGUUUGAGUGUUUGACAGUUUGAGACUUUGAGUUGGUACUUGGCUCAGUUGGUUGUGACCUGUGCUUAGUGUGUUGUGAGUCUGUGACUGAGAGUGAGAUGUAAGAUCUGAGAGUGAGUGAACAAUGUGAAGUGUGAACUGGUGAGUGGUGACUGCGCUGGUGAUCCGAAUUCCGAAGUCCGAAGUCCAAAUCCGAACAUGAGUUAAACUUAUUUUUUUAGCACUUUAGCUUAUUUAUUUAAUUUUUUUUUUUUUUGUUUAUAGUGCAGAUCCGAUCGGAUGAUUCGGAUUGAUCCGAAUCCGAUCCGAUCCGAACCAAAUCCGAUCGGAUCGCUCAAACUUCAUCCAAUCGGAUUUGCCUUCAAAUCCAAAUCCGAUCCGAAUUAGUUCGGAUCAGAUCGGAUUUAUCCGAAUCCGAUCCGAUGCCCACCCCUAGUUAUAACCUUCUCAUAGAAAUAAAAUUAGUUGAUCACAACAUUAUAACUAUGAAAAGGUUUUACUAUAUCAAUUGAGUGGAUAUAAUGCUCUUUUACCAUUUGUUGGGAGGGAAAAUCUAUUUAGCUUCAGGAACAAAGUUACGAGUGCUUUACCAAAGAGUAAUGUUGGGGAUCUCAAUAGUUGAGUCCCAAUUGGACUCUUAAUUGAUGCGCCAUGUAUCUAUUGGAUGAUAAAAUAUUAUUUUUUCUAGUUGAAACGCCCAAUUUAUUAAGGUUUGUCAAAACCUGGUGUAAAAAAUUAUCAGCAAUAGAUUUAAGGGAAAAAUGGUCAUUUUAGUAUUUUCGCAUUUCCAGAUGAGUAAAAGAAUGUUAUUUUUGGAUUCCGGAGGGUCAAGAACCUUAGCACAGGUGAUAACCGAGAUUAAAAUGGAGAUAGAAUUAAGAAUAGAUAUUUGGUAGAUGUUGAAAUCCAGUGUGGUAAGAUUUACAGUGUUAUGGUGCAAAUCAAUGAAAAUAUGCAGGUAAAACUUUAUAAAUUGUAGUACAGGAAUACAAGUAAACCUUUCAUUAUUAAUUAUAAGGCAGAAUUUGAUAAUUGUGACAAAAGCACAAAAGUACUUUGAUCGAGGAACAAAUGCCAGAGCUUAUUCCAAAAGACAACACUAGUAGUUUAUAUAGGAUGUAAUCUGCAUCGCAGAAACUACUCAAAAGGGAACAGGCUUCUCAAGCAAUGUGGUGAUGUAGUCUUUGAUCACAUAAGAGUUGGUGUAGCCAUCAUCAUCCUUGUAAAUAACAUCCAUCACCCGUGCAAGAUUGAGAAUGCGCUCAAGGAGAGGCAUUGCCACUUCUGUUGGUUUCAGGAAUCCUUCAUUUAUAUCUUUCCAUCCAUUUGAUAUUUCUUUGCGGAAUACUUUAAUUACCUCUUCAUCAGAGACGCCAUGCUGCUUCAUGUAACAUUCAAUACCCGAGGCAACAUGCUUUCUUUUUUGUUCAAACUACAAACACAGAAGUUAACAAUAAUAAUAAUAAGACGAUGAAUUUAUAACCAUGCAUCAAUAUUAAUAUAUACUGUACCUCAUGAGACACUAUAUCAUCCAUAAGUCUGCAAAUAACUUGGGAGGCUUUCACAAUUUUAGGGUAAUUGGAGAUCCAUUCAAAGGCCUGCUUAUCAGCAAUCUUUCCCAUGCCAAGAAAAGAAGCCGUUGCCAGCAUAUGAUAGCAAGUUGUCACAAGUGAAACUUGCAUAUACUCCAAUUAACUGAGCUGAAUAGGUUGAGUAGAUUUCGUGAACUUGACCUUUUGAUAGCAUUUGUAAAGAGCUCAAGUUCUUCAAGUGUGCCAUAGGCGUCGUAGGUAUCAUCUAAAAUGGAUGCCAUUGCAAUUACUUUGGAAAAUAUCUUUCUUGCAAAGGAGUAUCGAGGCUCAAAAUACACUCCCAUUGCCCAAAAAUAGCAUUCUACAACUCUGUUUCUAGCAUAUGGCAGAUUUAUUUCAACAUCUAAAUUUUUCCACCACCUAAAAAUUCAAAUAGUGUCAGUCUAGUCAUCAAUAUUUAUUCAGUUAAAUUUGAAGUUAUCGCCUAAAAAAUUUGAACUUACUCUGUGAUGAUACUUAACUCCUUGCGGUGAAUUACUUGAAGCAUGCAAAAAUCUAGUUUUGCAAACUUUAGUAAUAUUGCUUUAUCCUUUGAAUCAUCUCGUGAGUAGAGAUCGAUGUAAUAGACUGCCUCCAGCCUUGGUAAGCCUCUGCGGAUUGGCCUAUUCAACGCAUGAAGUAUUUCAUCAGAAAGCUGAGGGCUUACUUGAGUAACCAUUGAUUCCAGGUGAGAAGUAGUGAAAGCUAGGGCUUCAUCCAGGAUAUCUUCCCCGCGAAUGCGAAGAUGUGCAGCCUCAUACAAAUUUAGCAUGCCGGUCACAUCAUUAAUUAAGGAUACCUUGAACUUUCCUCGAUCAUCUUUGAAACCGCCAAAAAUAUCUGCUUUCCCAUUCAAAGAGUAAUUCGACUGAUAUCAAUCUCACAUAAUGGUCUAAAUUGAUUUAAACCAUAUAGUUCAGGUAGCGAUAUGUAUAAAAGGGCAAACUCCCAUUUAGCUAGUCUCUAGAUUUGUUUAGCCAAUUGGUCAAUUAGUCUUUUUGAAUUUUCAGAACUUUUUUAAAAUGUUGGAUCUUACCUUUUAAGAUUAAAUUCUUUUUUUUUAAUGUAAAACUGACAUGGAUAACAAUUGAAAAGUAAAGAAUAAUUAGUUAGAUUUUUAAUAGAGACAAAUAUACUAUAUAAAUGUUUUGGUCUGAAAUACAUAGAGAUUAAAGAAGAGUUAUAAGCUAUGAUAAAGAUUUUAUUACCGCAUGAUAUGCGAUAUCCUUGUUGUCUGAGUAACCGAAAUCGAAGAGCAACGGAGUGUACAUCGUUGCCAUCAUACUCAUCAGGAGAUAGUUUUUCUAGUUCAUCUUCUAUCUCCCUCUCAAAAUGGUAAGCCACUCCUAAGCGUUGGACGGCAUCAAUCAAGCUCAAUUUUUGAAAAGACUUGUCGGUUGGUGAGAUUAACAUGUUCUUUAUUUUUUGCUUAAGUGCUUCAAAUUCGUCUUGAUCAAUUGUGGGAUCCAUUGCCUACAUACGCAAGAGAGAAAGUUGACAUGUUCAUUGACAAAAGUGUAAGUUAGAUACUUUUGCUAUGAAAAUACACGCCAAGAAAGUACUAGAAUAUGAACAUUAUUAAUUACCACAGAGUCGUCAACAGAAGAAUAGUCAAGGAAUUUUUCCCCCCAGAGGGUGGGAUGAUAACUAGCUGUGGGACGGUUGCCGGCUGUAGCAUUCAGAAUGGAAGAAGGAACUUCUGAAUCUUGAAGUGCCAUUAUCUUAUUCUCUGGUUAAUUAGGCCUAGCUAGCUAAAUGAUGAUAUAAUUCCUUUGGGCUUGGUGUGUUUCAAGGACUUGUCUGAGCUUUGGUAUUUAUAGGAGAUUCUGAUAAUUGGAGUUGCGUAGGAAAUUAAUUUUAAAUUGAAGGGACAGCAAUAUCUCACCGGUGAAAAGGUUAUAAUCCAUGUUGUAAUUAUGUAAAAUGUGCGGCAUGCAUGCGUUACUGAUCAACUAUUUUUUAUACACCUAUCAUAUAAAUUUAACUCAUUCUGAUUUUGAUUUUAAGACAAAGUAAACACAUAAAUAGUAAUACAACUCAUUUUAAUUAUUAUUCCUGCAGUUCAAGCAAAUAAAUUAUUAUGAUUUCAAUUCUUCAUAAGUAUUAUUUACAAUUUACAAUAAAAUUGUAAACCACUUUAUAUUUAAUUAGACCACUCUAUAUAAUUUACAAUUUAUUCAUAAGUAUUAUGAAUUUUAUAAUGCAUUCACAAAACAAGAAUCAAAUUUAGCUGGAAAUAUAAUGAGUUACAAUCAGAAUAGCUACAAUCAAAAUGAGGAAUUGGAAUCAGAAUAAUUUAUUUACUUGAACUGCAGGAAUUAUAAUUAGAAUGAGUUGUAUUACUAUUUAUGUGUUUAUUUUGUUUUAAAAUCAAAAUUAGAAUAAGUUAAAUUGUAACAAACUGUUAUAAAAUCCUUAGUUAAUUUUUAUCAUAAUUAUUAUUUUGUAUUUUAAUAUUUGCUAUUGUUAUUAUUAUUCAAAAAUUAAUUAUUAAUAAUAAUUAUUGUUAAUUAUUUAUUAUUAUUAAUAACUUAAUGAAAAAUUAUUAUUAAUUGUUGUUAAUAGACAAAGAAUAAAUAUUUGCAACCUUAAACUUUCAGAAAAUAAUUAGAUAAUUUCAAAUUUUUUUAGUAACGGACGCCUUACCAACAAAUUAUUCAAUGCCAACAAAAAAUAAUUCAAUAUACCUGUGAAAAAUAUGCCUGGAGACAACUUUUAUUAAUUUUCAAAGGCGGCUGACUUAGAAUGAUGUACGUGCUUGUCUCUGUGUGUGUAUAAUUAUUCUAGAAUGCGGAUGUCCCACAAAUAUCUCACAAAUUUUUAGAAUAAGUACAAGUUCUCACAAAUAUCUCUUAGUUAACGUGAAAAAUAUGCCCCCGACAACUUUUCUUUAAUUUUCAAAGGAGGCUCUGACUAAGAAUGAAUAGGCCGCUUAACUUAGUAGAAGUGUCUUGAUGUUUCUGCAACAUGUUAUGUACUAACAUUUUUUCAAUGUCCCCACGGAGGAAUUGCCAAGCAAAGACAAAACAGAAUUCCUUUUCUAAUCUUUUAAAAUCAUCCUCCCUCUUGAUUCACUACAGAUUCAAUUAAUUGAGGAAGUUGUCUACUCCAGCUCCAGUUGAAGAAACUGUUCAUGGCAUUGCAAUUUUCAAUCAAAAUAAAAUAAAAUCUGCCGUAUCGGUAAAAUAAUUAUCCACGCAAUUUUUUUCUACAGUGAAAUUUAAUAUUAUCAAAGAAAAAUUCAUUCUUCGGAAUUUAUUUUAUUUUUAAUUCAAAUAAACUAACUACCUAAUUGCUCGCCACAAAAAAAAAAAAAAAAAGUUCGUUUAGGAACUCUGUUGAAGUUAAAUCUGCUUAUGAUUUCAUUGUCCCUGAAGGCACCUCAUUACUCUUUCGACAUUAAACUUAAAAAAGAAAAAAAGAAAAAGAAAAAAAAAAGAAUGUUAUUUAAUUAUUGCAAUGAGUUUGUUGUGAAAGUCUUAACGUCGUAAGAGUAAAAGAGUAUUAUGAAAACUGUAAAAAGAGUCCCACUGACCUGCCGCUGGUCUCACACAAGUCCUCCUUAUGCAGAAAUCAGUUUUUUUAUUUCCUUGUUCCUUUUUCAUUAAUUUUAUGCGCAAAGCACAAUUGGAUGUAUGUUCAAAAUAAUUCUCCCAUGUUCCGUUUUAUUCAUCGAACCAGCAUCUUCAAUAUUUUCCUUAUCACCUUAUACACUUUAAAAGUUGAAAGCAAAAGACGCACAUAAAUUAACAUAUUUUAAAAAAAAUGAAAAAUAACGAAAUGGAUUAGUAGAAACAUCUUAAUAUGUUUUUGGAACUUGCCCACAUUUUUUUUUAAAUAUAAAGCGUCUCUAAAAGAGUUAGGACAAGACUAAAUGGGAUUGGGCAACCACAUACAUGUUAUGAGCUUGCCCACAAAUCUUUUAUGAUAUCUAAGUAAAAUAUAAUUUCGUACUGAAGAGUUGAGAAAAAUUAAGGUUAGCAUAAAUAAUGACAUGAUUAAUGGAUGUGAGGAUAGGUGUCCAACGUAAUAAUAGUUUAACUAUUUUUAUUAUAAUUGAAACAAAAUUUCUGAAUAAUCGGGUUUAUUAAAUAAUAAUGAAUUGACAAAUCUAGGGUUUUGACCCCAUUAUAUAAUAACCCUAAAUAUUGUGAAUUUAUCAAAAUAUUUAAAUCUGAAAUAUUAUGUUAUAAUAAAAUUCUCCUAAUCUAAAUAAGAAAAGAAAAACAGUGUUCAAAUCCGAAUUCUAGAAAAAAAAGAUAAAAAUCCUAGAAGAAAUAAGAAAAAUAAAAAAAAUUUUAAAAUUGAAAAGUGACGAGGAAAGAAGUAGAAUUUUUAGCUCGACCACGAGAUAGAACUAAGCAAGCUGUUCUGGGUUGGUUCAUCUUAUCGCAAGUUUUAAAACAGUACAUUAUACGCUAAAAACGGACAUCUGUAGUACAAGUCAUGGCCUCCAGAAAAUACUCUGUUUUUAAUACACAACAAUCGUACAUCACCUCUUCCCUUCCCUUACUCAUAAGGCAAAAGAUUCAAAUAUCCCAUAAUUAAGGAUGUAUCAUUAAAAAAAAUAAACUGGUUAUUUUUGUUAAAAAAAGGAAGAUAAAAGAGAACAAAAUAUGAUGAAAUAAUGAUAAAAAUAUUUGUCCUUUUUGUGAAAUUUUAAUUAAUACAUGUACAAAUGAUCAUUUUUAAUUAACUCGCAUAUAGACUCAUAAAUAUGAAUUAAUACUUUUGUACAUGCGUGGAUUGCAGAUAAGUGAUACUUCAAAUCAAGAGGAAUACAAGUCAGGAGCCUGAUAAGCCUGCCCAUAAGUUGCAAUUGAAUGAUGCAGUCCAACGAUUGGGUGUGGCCUAUCACUUCGAACAGGAGAUAGAAGAUGCAUUAAAAAAUAUUUAUCAUGAUAACUUUGACAAUUGUUGAUGCCAAAAUCCAUUGAGUCGAUUAGUGACUCGAUCUCAGAUCCCUGCAUCAGCAUUAAAUUUGUUUGGUGGGAAGCUACUGGUUGAUCUCCAAGAAGAUCCUCCGACUAUGAACAGAAUAUUCAUGAGCAGAUAAUCUUCAAGCUGCGAAUCAACAAUUACCUGAAAUUACAGAGAAUGGUCAGGGUGCCAGAAGUUUUUCCGGCGAAAACCCUCCGACGCUCAAGUCAGUUUAUAGGUUUACGGGAAAAACCAAAUAUUUAAUUUAUAAUUUUUGUGAAGAAAGUAAUCUUAAGUAAAUGUAAUAGAAAAAUCAAAAUUGAGAAAGAAAGUUCAACCUCCCUUGGCAUGUUUUCUUUGGGUUUUUAUAAACACCCCACACCCACGACCUUAAAUCGUGGCAAUUAAUGAAUUAAAUUCAUACCCUGAUUUUUUGAAGGUGAUAUGUGGCGGUUAUUUUGAUUGAGUCAUGCUUCUUGGUGACUUGGUCCAAUGGCUCCUCAAACCCGUCUGCUUGAGGUCACCAAAAUUGCCACAUGGUCGAGAUAGCUGGCUCAAGGUCAUAAGAUUUACCCCCUGGUCGAGGUGACUGCUCAUGGUCUCAAGAUUACCACCUGGUCGAGGUGGUCUGCUUGUAGUCUCAAGAUUACCACCUGGUCGAGGUGGUUUACUCAUAAUCUCAAGAUUGCCACCUGGUUGAGGUGGUAUGCUCAUGGUCUUAAGAAUUACCACCUGGUCAAAAUGAUUUGCUCAUGGUCUCAAGAUUACCACCUGGUCGAGGUGGUCUGCUCGUAGUCUCAAGAUUACCACCUGGUCGAUAUGGUCUACUCAAGGUCACUAGAAUUACCUUCUAUUAGCCUAUCAACCAUUUGCUCACUUUUUAUUUUAGGAGAUCAUGGUUACCCUAUUUUAUUCCCCAAACAACUAUCUUUAAGUGUUGUAAUUCAUGACGGCAUGCUUCCUCAACAAUUCUUUCCUUUUGAAAGUCUUUCCUUGCCUCUACUUCCACCUUUUCCAUCACUCUUGGGUGUUUAAGCUUUUUUGACAGGGCGCAUUCUAUAAAAAUGUCCUGAAAUGGGAUUAUAAUUUGAGUCAUACAUGUAUAUGUUGAUGUAAUUUAUGAAUUUUUUUUAGAAACUAAAGCAAAGAAAGGUUGAAAUGGCUCAUAAACAGUAUAUUUUGUGGAUCCUUGCUUUGAGUAUAAUGAAAUGGCAAGAAUUGACAUCCCCGAAUUUUUUAACACCGUUAGAUAAAAGCCAGAAGCACUUUGGGUUGGGUUUUAGAGCCAUGACAAGCAGCAAAGCCAACCCAAUCUAAAUCUCGGGUUUAAUCCUAGGCCCUUUCUGGUCCAAUCAAAUUUUAAACUGAUUCCACACCUAAAAAGUGUCCCAAUUUGGUUGGAUUUAAGGAUGAUAAAUUGGUCUAUUUAAAUUGUAUAUCCAUACAUUUAAUCUAAUUGAAUUGGAUAAUAUCCAUCUAAAAUAUUUUUGAAUGUGGAUAUGGAUAAUUUUAAAAAUAUUUAAUUAGAUAUUAGAUGGGUAUAGAUAUUUAAUGGAAAUCCAAAAUCUAAUUAAUUUAUAUGAAAAAAACAAAAACAAAUUUACUAAAUUAUUGUUGUUAGUUUUAGCAAGCGAAGGAGGCACAAACUCUUCAGCCAUCGGAUUCAGCUUCGAGUACAGCUCCUGUAACUCCCUCAUGUCACGCUUGAAAUCCCCUCCGCCGUUGGAUCGUUGAUUGUUCUGGUUGUACAAUCCCUGAUCGAGCGACAUCACCAUCGCUCCUCCGUUUUGCUUCGGAUGAUCCUGACCGUUUGAUGCCGAUAUCGAUCCCGCUGACGAUACAACUGAAUCUUGACUCGCUGAUUCAACAACAACCAUGGUUUCUUUUUUCCUUUCUUUUUUUCCUUCUUGUCCCUGGUUGACUCUCUCAAAAAUCUUGACUUUGGAUUGAUCAAUCCUCUUAUCUGUGUAGUAUUUGCCUAAGCGGCUGGUUAGUCAUCAUAACUAUUGGAUAAGCUUGGAAAUACGGCAUGAGUUUUCGGACAGCCAUCACUAGCGCUAACACCCACUUCUCCAUUCUUGAAUACCUUGUCUCCGCACCAAGCAGUGCUUUGCUGGUGUACUAUAUGGGGUACUGAAUCCUUGCCUCCUCCCUCACUAUAAUUGCGCUCGUGUCAUCGACAAUAACGUUGCCUUGAGCAAAUAUUGUUUUACGUGAUGAAAUGCCUCUUCACACUCCAUCGUCCACUUCAUCUUCUUGCCUUUUCUCAUUACUUUGAAGAAAACAUGGCAUUUGUCAGUUGCUCGCAAUAUAAAUUAGUUUAACGCCGCCAACUUUCCCGUAAGACUCUGCAUGUCCUUGAUUGUGCAAUGAGACUUCAUUUCAAUCACAACGCGUAUCUUCUCGGGGUUAGCUUCAAUUCCUCUAUGGCUUACCAUAAACCCCAAGAACUUUCUCGACGAGACCCCAAACACGCACUUUUCUGGGUUAAGUUUCAUUUUAUACCUCUUCAAGAGCUCAAAAGUUUCUUCUAGAUGCCUCGGAUGCUCUACUUGAUUCCUAGACUUGGUGAUCAUAUCAUCUACAUAAACCUCCAUUGUUUUCCCAAUUAGUGGCUUGAAAAUUUUGUUAACCAACCUCUGGUAUGUUGCGCCCACGUUCUUAAGGCCGAAUGACAUCACCUUGUAAUAGUUUAGGCCAACAUUAGUUAUGAACGUAGUAUGCUCUUCAUCUUGCUCUAACAUCAGUAUUUGAUUGUUAUGACUUUAUGAACGUAGAAUAUUUGAUGUCCGGGAAUAGAAAGUCUCUAGGGAUGUCCAUGUUCAUAAUCUCCUCAGGGAGAGUUGACUCACUAUCCAACAUAAUUCUCCAAACUAGUUUCUUUAGUCGUCCCUAAAGCUCGUCAAUCACCUGAGCCAAACGACGUAGCUCCAUUUUCUAACACCAUCACACGAUCUGGAUUCUGAAGUACUACUUGAUCACGCUCCCUUUCAGGGAUGUCGGAUUUUUCCGGCGUUAACCCUUCGACGCUCAAGUCAGUGAUUUUGUGUGAUUUUCUUUAUGGGAAAGAUGAGAUAUUGUUCAGAAGGUCCAACCCCUUUUUCUGGAUCUUUUUCCCGCUUUUAUAGACGACUGCGAGCUUCGUUUAUUGUGGUCGUUAUCUAAUUAAAUGCAUUGAUUGUGUCAUUUAAGUGUGUGAGUUAAUAUAUUUGUUCACGUAGUUAUUGGUCAGUCGUUGUAAUGCCUGAUCAUGCUUUAAACACGCUUGGACGUUAAAGACCAAUUCCUAAAAAGAACUCCUUGUCUUAGCUUAUGAAAAUCAUGUGACCAGCUCAUGGUCUGCUCGAGUCAUGCUGGCCAUGUUUGCUACAUCCGACCAUGUAAGUGUUUGAUACAUGUGACCAGAUAACGAAACUUUCCUCAACUUGGCUAAAUCUUAAUACCCCAAACAUUACCAAUCUCUAUAUAACUUAUGAUAAUAUAUAGUGGUAGUUUAUUAUUAUUUUUAUCUUUAUUUUUUUAUUUUCUUAAAAUUAAAAUUAUUUAUCUUCAUAAUUUUUUACAAAUAUUCUUCAUAUAAAAACAUAAUAAACUAUAAUAAAUUUGAUUAACAUAUAACAAUAUAGAAUUGUAUCCAAUUGAAUAUGAUUUAUAUUAUGAUAAUAUAUUAUCUUAUUUAUGCUCUGUGAGGUGCUUAUUAUUUGUUUAACAUUUACAAUUUGUAAGGGCCCAAAUGUAAAAAUUCUAGUUUUUAGAUUUUUUUAAGUUAAAGAAUAAAUAACUUAAUAUUUAUUUUUAACGAUUCAGACACAAAAAAAAAAAAAGAAAACAUAUCAUUUAUGUUUAGACAUUUAGCUCUAUUAAGAAUUCAAAUUAAUUCAGAUCUAUUUAGAUUUCAAAAAAAAAAAAAAAACAAACGAUGUCUUAAUGCAAGGUUUUGCUGUUUUUCUAGCAUGCAUGCUUUGCAUUGUUCUUGUUUUCGAUCAAUAUCCUUUUUAAGGGGUAAUGCUCAUCACAUCCUCUCCUAACUACAUUUAAUAAAAUUUUCAGAUCAACAAAUUUUUCUCAUAUUGUCAAGGCUCAUUAAAAAAAAGGAGAAAUUUUAAUAGGGACAAAUACACAACAGGACGUUUUGGUUUGAAAAUUUAAGGGCCGACUGGGUAAUUAGUUUAAAUCUUAGUGACUAAAAGAAUAAUGAAUUAUAGAUUAGGAUUGAGUACUGAGCUAAUUUUUUCUAAACAUUUAAUCAAUGGCUAAGUUUUUUUUCUUUUUAUAUGAUGAAGAAACUUAUUAUUACCCAUGGGAUGUGAUAUCUUUGUUGUCUGAGUAACCAAAAUUGAAGAGCAACUGUGUGUAGACCGUUGCCAUCAUAUGCAUCACAUUCAUCAGCAGAGAGAUUUUCUGAUUCAUCUUCUAUCUCUCUCUCAAAAUGGUAAGCCACUCCUAAGCGUUGGACGACAUCAAUCAAGUUCAAUUUUUGGAAAGUCUAAUCGGUUGACGAGAUUAACAUGUUCCUUAUCUUUUGUUGAAGUCCGUUAAACUCAUCUAGAUCAGUUGUUGCAUCCAUUGCCUGUUUACACAAGAGAAUUAAUUGCAUGGGUUUAUUGAGAAAGUGCAAGUUAGAUACCUUUGUUACGGAAGAUACUGCAAGAAAGUACUAGACGAUGUAAGUUAAUAAUUACCACGGAGUCAUUUGAAGAAUACUCUUGAGGAACUUUUUUCCUCAGAGUGUAGGAUGAUGACUAGCUCUGGGACGCACUAUAAGAAAUAGCUGUAUUACCGACCAGACAUUUUCGAGCGUGCAGUAUAUCCUUGAAAAUAAGUACUUUUUAUAAAGGCAUUGACAAACUGUCAGAUAAAUUUGAAAAAUUUAUAUAUUUUUUUAAGGUAAAUUUGCCUUAGUGAUGAAGGAACUUUUUUUUUUGUUGAAAAUGCAAUGUGGAGCUCAAAAUUACUCUUAAAAUUGGUAAAGUUAGAUUUAACGCCACGCUUAAAAAAUCCCAUCGUAGAAGUCACAUGUGACUAACUCACAAACGCACGAUACGUAACAAAAUAAAAAGAUAAAUUUAAGCUAUAAAAAUAAUUUAAAAAACCAAAAAUGAAUGUUUCCAUGUCAGCCUCGUCCAAUUCACCCUUGCCGACAACGAUCGUCGAGUUUUUUUUAAUCUCCGGCAGAAAUCAUGAAGCUAUCUUUUCAUCGGCAAUAAUCAUCGAGCUUUCUUCUCGCCUCACAAUUCGAGAAGCUAGCUCUCGCCAGCUACGAUCGUCAAGCUCCCUCGCCCACAACAAUCUCUAUCCGGUCGUUUCUAUUCCAUUGCUUUCAAUUAUUUUCAACUUAAAUGUAUGAUGAAGUUAUAUCCAUUUGUUGUUUUGAACGAGUAAAGAGAAACCUACAAUUAUUUGACUUUUCGAUUUUGAGAUCGGAUGGUUCACAUUGUUCACUUGAAUCGUCCACUGUUAAAUGUAAGCACCAGUCUCUCUCUUAACUUUACCUUCGUCUUUGUGUUAUUUUAUUUAGUUCUAACUAUGUUAUAACAGUGGAACCAUACCAUACUUUUUGUCUUUAUUCAACAAAACCGUUAGAUACUUUCUCGUUCAAUUUAACGGCUGAAAUUAAUUAUUGAAUAAUUGAUACAGCAACUUACAACCGUUACAGCCGACCCUUCCUAAAGUUUCUUAGCAAUAAUUGCAUUAAUUAAACGAGAUUUAAACACGAUAGCAAACCAUAUAGGAUGUCUUCAAACAACAGUGAAUACAAGCAACUCUCUGAAAUUCAUCAACUGAGCAAAUUCAAGAAGAAGGCACGCCAAUCUUAAUUCGAAUAAGAUUUCCACCAUAUAACAGUUUCUUAGAAAAUUAAGACAAAAUUGUAUCUUGCUCACAUGAAUGGAAUUUAAGUGAGAUUUAACAAUAAUCACCCUCAGAAAUUUACUGAAGUAAAUAAUACUUGCAGAAAACUAAUCUACAGCAACUAAGUGAUGCUUCAAUGUGUUAAUCCACCUGCAGAUAAAACCAAUAAAUCAUAAUGGAUUAGGAUUAUCAGCUUAGAGGUCAGUCAGAUAAAAAUAGUUCCCAGCUAACCAAUAAUAGCCAUUUCUUUGAUUCAGCUAAGUAAUUUGAUUAUACUCACAAUCAAGCCCCAAGAAAAAAAAAAUGAAAAAUCGUCAUUUUUGCAUUCCAAUAAAUCAAAAUUCCACUAAGAACAAGAAGAAAAAGAAAAAAAAAUUUAAAAAUACCCAGACAAUCAAACAACUCAAUCAAGGGGUUAGAUAACAACUCAAUCAAUGUACUGAGGUGCACUUUAUAGGUCCAUAUCACUGGCGAUGGGGGGACGUCAGGGAUAGGGAUCAAGUUGUUUUCUUUUUCAAUCUGUAAAUAAAUGAUUGCCCUCUUUUUUCUCUUUUUUAACAAAUUAAAAAGGCAUAAUACAAAGCAUUUAAAAAAAUAAUUUUUUUUUUAAGUUUUGCAAAAAAAGAACUUCUAAUCCAAUCCUCGAAUGAAACAUUUCAACAGAUUUAUGCAAUUUUUAUCUUGGUAAAAUUGAUAAAUGUAUAAUGCAUGUCAAAGAGAAAAAACACACAAUCCCAUAAAAAAUGAACUAGCAAAUAAAGUAGAUACCUCAAUGAAAAGCGGUUAAAUGUUGAAACAUAAAUAUUAUGCCAUUUUUUCAAUUUAUACUUCAAUGAUCAAAUUAACAAACUCUAUGUAGCUAACUAGCCAUGUGCAGUACACAGCCGUCGUUGGUAUUUGCUGGUUGAAAGGAAAAAGAUGGCACCUAAACAAAGUAUCAGCCACCUAAAACAAGUAAACAUGUAUAUAAAACUUCAUAUUUCUUUCUUUUUUAUGCAUAUUAAAAAUGUAUUACAGUGUGGAUGAUUACCUUAGUGCUCAAACCACUUUAAUGAAUUCAAUUCCAACUUAUCUUCAGCAUCAUUUCACCUUCAUAGCCAAUCCAUUUUCGACAACAAACCAUGCUGCAAAUCCGCUACAAAGUGACUCACAAAUCUCAAAGCUACAUGAGAACAAGCAAAUGAGUUUUCUCAGAUUUUAUUCAAAUUGACAAACAUGGCAUAAUAUGUCAAUAUUCUUGCAAUGCCUACAAAUAACCCAGUUUUAUAAUACCAAAAACAACUUCAUUGAUCUACAAAUAAAUAAAAUAAACUAAACUUUUCAUUGAGACAAAUCCUAAUUAAAAAUAUUUAUAAAUUCAUCACAAGAAAAUAAAAUUCACAAGCACCCAAAUAACCAAAAUAAUUUAAGAUUUAAGAAAAGAAUACUAAACCUUCCAUGCCUAACCAAUCUCUGAGAAUUACACUCUCUCUUUCACAAAAUUUUCUUCUGUUCGUUCAAUAAUUGAAACCCAUUAAACCCAAAUGCAAAAGUGAUAAAUGAGAGCGCCGGUGGAGCUUGGUUUUUUCAUGUUCGACACGACGGCCGAGAAGGGGAAGCUCCCUUGGCGACUUCGAGGUGGCGAUGAGCACAGACACAAUCACUAUGGGUUUACAUCUAUACAAUCCUUAUGCAACAGACAACCGUGCAUUUUCACAGAGCUAAGCUGAGUAACUGACGGUGAGUUUUGUUACAAGUAAUUUUACCUUUUCUUGACUGAUUUUCCGGUUUGCUUUAACAGAAAUGUGGCCAUCUCUUCGGUGUUGGAUUACUUGCUUUAAAAUCUAAUGGUUACAUUAAAUAUAUAGACAAAAACUGUGGUACCAACGUAGGUGAGUCCUUUUAUUUUUUUAGCUAUUUUGGAUUAGGGUAUGGUGUCUAUGUUGCUAGUGAUUGACUGAGUGAAUUAAUUAUGUUACAUAGUUGUUAAAUAGGAUUUAAUCUGAAAAUUUGACAAACUUUUAUAUAUUACUAGUGAUUGAUUGAGUGAAUUAUGUACGUUUAUAUAUUUGUUAAAGUCGAUGUAAUGUAUUCUUCUACUUUCUUUUGCUUCUGCUUGUUUAACAGUUAGGUGUUUGUUGAAAACCCUCAAUGAACUAAGAAAAGUAUAUAGUUCUUUGUUUAAAGUUGGAAAACCUGGUACUAGGUACAUGCAAAAGAAACGUGCACUUUAUAUGUGCUAAUUUCUAUAACUUUUAUGGAGAGAUUAAACAAAUUUGUCUCAACUGGUACUAUUGUACAUCUUAUAUGGUCAAGUUUGUAGCAGUAAGUUAGAACACGUAAGUCAUGUUGUUAUAAUUUUUUGAACCAUCACAAAGGCCUAGAAUUUUUUUGUUGUACAACAAAUUUGCUGGCUGUCCGCUGCCUAGAUAAGGUAGAUCUAACAAAAGUUUCUUAUCAUUUUGGUCAUGCAAUAAUGUUAGAUGGUGUGAAUUAUGCCUUGCAGUGCUGGAAAUUACCAUGCAGCUUCUUGAGGUAUUUUCCUAUUGCAAUCUUAAUUUUUUAAUAUUUGAUGUUUUUGGUGAAUGGUGACUUAACAAGGAUAUUGUGAUUCAGUUAAUACCACUGGGCAUAAUGAAAUGUUAAUGUAACUAUUCCUAGUUCAUUAUGCUGAGGUAACUUCUCUUACUUUACUGAAUCUUCACUUUAUUUUUCCAACUUCUAGAAAAUACUUGUGAUCUGAACACAGAUACUUAGUUGCUGCUCCUGUUCAACUCAGGCUCCGUUUGGAAUAGCUUUUCAAGUAGAGCUUUUGACAGUAAAGCUUUUAUAAAUAAAGUUUUUAUCUAAAAUAUUUUAGUUGUUUGACUGUCAAUGAAAGCUUUUAUUAAAAAAUUAUGAAAUUACUUUAAUAGACAAGUUUUUUUAAAUUAUGUUAUGAAAAUAAUAAAAUAAAAUUGUCAAAUAAGUAGAGGAUAUUUUAGCUAUUUUAAAAUAACAUUUUAAAAAAACUUUUCAACCUCUACUCCCAAAAGCCCAGAAUUUGAACUUUUGCUAGUAGAGGCAAAAUAGCUUGUUUUCCCUAUAUAUUUAUAUAAAAAAAACCUUAUUUAAGCUCUAAAAGAUCUAUAAAAAAAAAAAAAAAACCAAACAACAAUAAAGUUUAUUAUAUGAGCUUAUGGAAUUAAAUAAGUACUUAUACCCAUUAGAUAGGUUAUACCAAAUAGGCACUCAAUGCUAGCAAGUGCUUAUCAUGCCUAAACUUAAGUAUUUUCUUUUCAACAACCAUCCUAGUUUCUUGCUUGAUAUGUGUGAGCUAAUUUUUUUUUUUUAAUGCCACAAUAAUCUAGUGAUAACUAUUAAAAAAAACUAUAUUACCAUGACGAGCUCAUGGCUUAGACAUAGCAAUUUACAUUCAAUUCCUUUGUAUGAACUUCUUUAUUAUUUAAUGGGAUUUUUAGUCCUAAUAAUAUUCUUCAAUGGUAUUUUAGGAGUUAAGAAAAAUGUUUCAGAUAAUGAAGAAGACAUUGGAAAAUAUUCAAGUUUUGAGAUCAUUUAAUUUGUGUAUACAUUUGGGAUACUUUUAUGUUAGAGAUACCAUCAAAUUGAUUUUUAUGAAUUUUUGAUUGAUUUUUAUGAAGCUACUUUUAAUGCAUUGUGUAUUAUUAAUUUGUUGGUUAUCUUAUAUUCAUAAUAUAGAAACUUCAAAAAUUAAAUUUAGAUUUUAUUGUUUUUGUGGAAAAUGAAAAGAAAAAAGUGCAUGAAAUAAUAUUAUUGAAUAAAUAAAGGAGAACACUAAAAAAAAUGGAUGCACAUUUUCGACUGCCUAUUUAGUAUUUCCAAGGACAAAAAGUAGUUGGAAAUGUAUAAUUAUUUGAUUUCCAAGGGAUUAUUUUCGAGGGCAGUUAAUGACAUUUUCGACAGCAAUACUGUCGAAAAAAAAAUUUCUCUAAAAACUCAUUAGAAAUUGUGUUUUUUCGAUGUGACUUAAUACGAUGAUGAUCAACAGUAUGAUUCUCUCAUAAAUGAUUUUUUCCGAGGGUAUGUGUGCAUUUCCGAGGGCAAAUACCUUAAAAAAUAUCAUUUUUUGUUGUAGUGACGGUUGAAGCCUGCUGCAUUAUGAAUUGAUGAAACAUGAGCUUCAAAAUCUUGAAAGCCAUUUUCUUGUUAAUUAGGGCUGGCAAGCUAGUUUAUGAUAUAAUUCCUUUAACCUUAACUUGCUUCAACGACUUAUAUGAGUUUUUGUAUCUACAACAUAUUUUCUGAUCCUUGGAACUAUAUAAGAAAUUAGUUUUUAACAUAUAGGUGGGACAUCAAGAUCUUACCAAGGAAAACGUUAUAAUAAUCAAUCAAUGUUGUGAUUAUAUUUAUUAUUUUUAUUUCAAUAAGUUUAUCAUCAUCAUCAUCUUUGGGUGUAACAUGAAAUAAUCAAAAGUUUAACCACUUCAUCUUAAACAAUGUAACCUUUCAGCUUUUUGAGAUGUGCUAAUUCUUUUUUCUUCAAAAUCUAAUCUCUCAGACUAAUUAAUUAUCUACCUUGCUCUCUCUUUUUUUUUUUCCCUUCUCUUUCAUUUCCGCUCCCUCCCCCCGCCCCCUUCAUUCUCAAAUUAGACUUUUCAAUUUAUAGCAAUCUCUGUGUGUUUGACCUCAUUAUCACUAUUCUAUUUUUAGAUUCGUGCGCUUGCGAGUAUAUUAAAAUUUUUGGCACCGUUCCUAGGGAUUGUGCCAAAGUCAAUUUAACCUAGGUUAAUUUGAUUCUUCCACUUGUUAUAAUUAAGGUUGUCUUUUAGUUUUUUAUAAAGAAAAACAAAAAAAAUUAGAAUUAGACUUUAAAUUCAUUGUUUGGUUGUUUGAUUUCUUUUCUUUUAAGUUUCGUUUAUUUUCAUAAUUGUUGGUUUAUUUUUCUUUGUUUGUCUAGUUAGUUUACGAGUGUUUGGGAUCGUGAUUCGACAAAUCAUUUAGUAAAAAAAAGAGUCUAAAUUUGAUAGUAAUCAAGCUAGUUCUUCUCAAGUGAUGGAUGACCUAAAUAGAAUAUUGUCAAUACUACCACUAGUGCAAGCAGAGAAAACCCUUAGAAAAUAUUUUUCACCACUUAUAGUCAACCAACCAUCUUGUAUUGUGUUGCCACAAACUACAGAAACACACUUUGAACUUAAGCACUCUGUCAUUUAGCUUUUACCAUCUUUCCAUGGGUUAGAGAGAGAGGAUCCAUAUUUGCACAUUAAGGAAUUUCUUGACAUAUGCUCUACAUUUCGUUUUCAAAAUUUUAAUGAUGAGUCAAUUAGUUUUUGUAUGAUCCCUUUCUCAUUAAAAGAUAAAGUGAAAGCUUGGUUGAAUUCACUUUUUGUUGGGUCUAUUACUACGAGGGAUGAAUUGAGUGAUAAGUUGCUCACCAAGUUUUUCCCUAUGUUUAAAACAAAUGCCCUUAGGAGAGAGAUAUGCGAUUUUUAUCAAAGAGAGGGCGAGCAAUUUUAUGAGUGUUGGGAAAAGAUUCAAUGAUUUACUCCUCAAGUGUCCCUACCGUGGUUUUAAGAAAUGGAGACUUAUAUAAUACUUUUAUAAUGGUUUAACUUAUGGUAGAGUUUGAAUGGUGGGAGAUUUUUGAACUUACAUGAAGGGGUUGCAUGAGAUUUCUUUAAUUCACUUUAUGAGGAUUCUCAAUAGUGGGAUUUUUUAAAUCAAAGAGAAAAAUUAUUUUAAGUUUCUAGAAAGAAUCUAUAUAAAGUUAAGGAUGAUUUUGAUGUGAAAGCUAUUCUAGCUACACUUUCUAGGAAAGUAGAUGCUUUAAUUCUGAACCAAUCAAUGAAUCAUCACCCUAGUGUAGCUAAUGAGAGUUGUGCUCUUUGUUCCAACCUAUCUCAUACAGCACAAAAUUAUCCUUUAUUUCUAGCCUAUCAAGAGGCUUAUUUUGAGCAGGUACAUGUCUUACAAUCAUAUGAGAAAACCUUCAAUAGUCUAUAUUCAACCCACAUAUAAUCUUAAUUGGAAGAAUCACCCUAAUUUUUUUUUAAAAACAAAAUCAGCUAUUAUCAAACAAAGGAGGGCAACAAUUUAGCAUGCUCAAUUAACAAUUUGUCCCUUUUAACCAAGUAUAUCUCCCUGCCUAACAGCACAUGUCCCAAUUUGUUGCGCCCUAACAAAGAAAAUCUUCUUUAGAGGGUACACUUCAAGUUUCAUUCAGUUUAUCUAACAAGCCUUUCAAUUAAACACUCAAGCUAUUCUAAAGCUUGAACAUCAAUUGGGUCAAUUAGCAACUACUGUAUCUGGGAGAGAAAAAGGAAAUUUCCCAAGUCAUCCAAUCCCCUAAUCCCAAAGGAGUAUAUGAAGUUGGAUAAAGUUUAAGCCAUCAGCAUGAAGAGGAAAAAUCUAUUAUGACCUUGAGAAUAGGAAAGUUAUUUGACAACAAGGUGGAGGUUCUAACAACAAAGACAUCUGAAUCUGCUUUUUCAAAUCUAGUUCCAUCACAAGACUCAUCACCUAAUGAUCUAGAAGAAAGUGGCCUAGCCGCUUACAUUCCUCAGGCUCCUUUUCCCUCAAAGGUUAGCAAAGGUAAAGGAAGAGACUUCAACAUGUGAGAUUAUAGAAAUCUUCAAGCAGGUAAGUAUAAACAUCCUUUUACUUGAUGCUAUUAAGCAAGUUCCCUCUUAUGCCAAGUUUUUAAAGGAUUUAUGCACUAAAAAGAGAAACUUACAUGUCACCAAAAAAACAUUUUUAAUUGAACAAACUAGUAAUUUACUUCAAUGUAAAAUACCACCAAAAUUUAAAAAUCCAAGUUCCUUUACUAUCUCAUGUGUUGUAGGGAACUAAUUGUUUAAUAAAGCAUUAUUAGAUUCAGGAGCUAGUUUUAAUCUUUUGCCUUAUUCUAUUUACAUGCAACUUGAACUAGGUGAAUUAAAGUCAACUUCUAUUAUUUUGCAAGUUGCUGAUAGGUCAAUGAAAGUAACUUGUGGUAUUGUAGAGAAUGUGUUGAUACAAAUUGAUAAAUUUUAUUGUUCUGUUGAUUUUAUUAUUAUUGAUACUCAGCCUCUACAGGAUCCUAAGAAACACACCCUAGUUAUUCUAGGUUGUCCUUUCUUAGCUACAGUUGAUGCUCUUAUUAAUUGUAUGAAUGGAAACAUGUAGCUAUCUUUUAGUAAUAUGACCAUGGAAUUAACUAUUUUUAAUGUAACCAAGCAGCCACAAAAAGAAGAUGAAUUUGUUGAAAUGGAUGUGAUAGAAGAAUUAAUAAAAGAUUCAUUCAUUUAUAAGCACAAUGAUGAUCCAUUAGAGGCAUGUUUGACUUAUUCUUAUUUAUCUUCUAAUGAUGACAGUGUAAUUGCAGAAGUCAACGCCUUACUUGAUGGAAGUCCAAUAUGGACACAACUAAAUGAAAUAUAAAGUCAGAACCACUGCCUCAUUCUGAGAAGAAGAUUAGCCCAUCUGCAGAGACACAACAAAAAUUGGAGCUCAAAGCACUGCCUGACACUCUAGAAUAUGUAUUCUUAGGAGAAUUUGACACAUUGUUAUUAUUUCUUCUUCCCUCGAUCUUGAGUAAAAAGGUAAGUUGUUGGGUAUUCAGAAAGAUCAUAAGGAGGCAAUAAGAUGGACUAUUGCUGAUAUUAAAGGUAUAGUGGAUUGCAUGCAUCAUAUUCAUCUUGAAGAUAAUGCUAAGCCUAUUAGGGAGAUGCAACGUAUGCUAAAUCCUAACAUGAAAGAAGUGGUAAGAGUUGAAAUAAUUAAAUUAUUAGAUGCAGGAAUUAUUUAUCCUAUUUCAGAUAGCUCUUGGGUUAGCUCUGUGCAAGUUGUUCCUAAGAAAUAUGAUGUUACAGAAGUUACUAUUGUUAAUAAUGAAUUAAUUCCCACUAGAGUAACUACAGGUUGGCGUGUUUGCAUUGAUUAUAGAAAAUUGAAUUCAGUCACAAGAAAAUAUCAUUUUCCUCUUCUAUUUAUUGUUCAAAUGCUUGAUAGACUUGCAGGUCAUGACUUUUAUUAUUUUCUAGAUAGAUAUGUAGGUUAUAACUAGAUCCCUAUAGCUUCAGAGGACCAAGAGAAAAUGAAUUUUACUAGCCCUUUUGGAAGUUUUGCAUAUAGGAGAAUGUCAUUUGGUUUAUGCAAUGCACCUGCUACCUUUCAAAGAUGCAUGCUUAGUAUUUUUUCUGAUAUAGUUGAAAGAUUUUUCUAUUUAUGAAGAUUCGUUUGAUGAAUUUUUGCAUCAUCUAACAUUAGUUUUGCAGAGAUGUAAGGAAAAGAAUUUGGUUCUCAAUUGGAAAAAAUAUCAUUUUAUGGUAAAAUAAGGUAUUUUUCUUGGUCAUAUAAUUUCCAGCAAAGGUAUAAAAGUUGACAAAGCCAAGGUAGAUUUAAUUGCUAAUCUUCCACCUCCCAAAUCCAUAAAAAAAGUAAGAUUUUUCCUUGGACAUGUUGGUUUUUAUAAAAGAUUCAUUAAAGAUUUUAGUAAAAUUUCUAGACACUUAUAUAAUUUAUUUGUUAAAGAUGCACCUUUUAUCUUUGAUGAUUCUUGUCUCGAUGCUUUUGAAAAGUUUAAGAAAUUGUUGACUUCUUCACCUAUCAUUCAGCCACCUAAUUGGGGUUCGCCUUUUGAAAUUAUAUGUGAUGCAUCUGAUUAUACUGUAGGAGCAGUUUUAGGACAAGAUUAGAUCGUUUGCCUUAUGUCAUUUAUUAUGCUAGUACGAUACUCAAUGAUGCACAGUUGGAUUAUUAAACUACAGAAAAAGAAAUACUAGUUGUGGUGUUCGCACUAGAUAAAUUCAGAUCUUAUCUUAUAAGUUGUAAAGUGAUUAUUUUUACUGAUCGUGGUGCUUUGAAAUAUUUGGUCGCUAAGAAAGAUGCUAAGGCAAGAUUGAUCCGUUGCGUGUUACUUUUACACAAAUUUGACAUUGAAUUUAGAGAUAAAAAAUGUUCUAAAAAUGUUGUGGCAGAUCAUUUGUCUCGCCUUGAUCUUAAAUUUAUUAUAGAAUCAUUACCUUUAAAUGAGUCUUUCUCAGAUGCGCAACUUAUGAGUGUAAAUGUUUUGUCAUGGUUUGCUGAUAUAGUUAAUUAUUUUGUUACAUGUCAAAUCCUAGAACACUGGACCAAGCAAGAUAGAACAAAGUUCUUAUUCGAAGUGAAGAAUUUCUUUUGGGAUGAUCCCUACUUAUUCAAAUAUUGUGCUGAUCAUAUUAUUAGGAGAUGUGAUCCAGAGAAUGAAAUUUAAAGUGUCAUCUCUUUUUGUCAUGAACAAGCUUGUGGAGGCCAUUUUAUCACUAAAAAGACAACAUUAAAAAUUUUAAAGUGUGGUUUUUAUUAGCCUACUCUUUUUCAUGAUGCUUAGUUUUCUGUUCUUUGUGUGAUAGGUAUCAACACAUGGGUAGCGUUUCAAAGAGGAAUAUGAUGUCACUUAAUCCUAUUCUUGUGGUUAAGAUCUUCGAUGUAUGGGGUAUUGAUUUUAUAGGACAUUUUCCUCUAUCUUUUGGUUAUCAGUAUAUAUUAGUUGCAGUUGAUUAUGUGUCAAAGUGGGUUGAAGCUAUUCCAUGUAGAACCAAUUAUCAUAGGGUCAUAGUGAAAUUCGUGAAUAGUAAUAUCCUAUCUCAUUUUGGUUUCCCUAGAUCUAUAAUCAGUGAUAAUGGUACCCAUUUUUGAAAUAAACCUUUCAAAAUUCUUUCGGACAAAUAUUCCAUUACACAUAAGGUUGCUAUCCCAUACCAUGCUCAAACCAGUGGUCAAGUAGAGAUUUCUAAUCGAGAGAUCAAGCAAAUUCUAGUAAAGACAGUUGGGCUAGAUAGAAAUGAUUGGUCUUUGAGACUUGAUAAUGCAUUAUGGGCAUAUAGAAUAACUUUUAAAACACCAAUUAAGAUGUCACCUUUAUAGACUUGUGUAUGGAAAAACAUCCCAUAUACCAGUAGAGCUAGAGCAUUGUGCAAAUUGAGCUAUCAAGAAAUUCAAUUUUGACAUGCAGCAGGCUGGUUCUAAGGGAAGAUUACAACUAGUAGAACUUGAAGAGAUAAGGAAAAUUGCUUAUGAAAAUGCUAAGAUUUACAAGUAACGAAUGAAAGUCUUUCAUGCCAAGCACAUUUUUAGAAAAUCCUUUAUACCACGUCAGAAAGUACUUUUAUAUAAUUCCUAAUUACAUCUCUUUCCUAGUAAGUUUCAUUCUAGAUGGUCUGAUCCUUUUAUAGUUCAUACCAUCUACCCUUGUGGAGCAGUUGAGAUUGAAAAUUGAUUAGUAUUAAAAAUUGUUUAAUUAUCAAGCGAUAAUAUGUUAUUUUAUGCUUAUGUUAUAAUUUAUAUUUGUGUUUAUGUAAUAUAUUAUGAAUUAUUAAUUAUGUUUUAAAUAUAUUUAAUUUUGUGUAUUUUUAUGUGUUUAUUAGGAAAAAUAUUAAUUUCACAUAUUUCGAGGCUCCAAACAAAUAAACGGAGGUCCAAUUUGGAUUCUGGAGGUCCGAAAACCUUAAGAUCAGUCAAGAUGGGCUUAAAAUUGGGCUUGUGUAAAAAAAGUUGACUUUUCCUGUUGACCGAGCACUGAUUGGAUGAUGAAAUGAGCUUACAAUAGAUAUGAGUGCAUGGGAUAACUGGCAAUCUUGACCAAAUCUCAACCGUUCAUGAUUCAAUGGCCAAUUGGAUCUUGAUCUAAAGGUUGUGAGGAGCACAUGCAUGAAACAUAUGAUAGACCGCAACACACUGGAUUAUAAAUUUAUUUUUCUAUAAAUAGAGCCUCAUUUUAUGUUUUUAAUCAUCUCUCUACAACUCUCUUCUUCUCAAAUUCUCUUUAUCUCCCUGUAAUCUUGAUUUUCAGGUGUGUUUUUAAUAUUUUAUAUAAUUAUUUUUAUAAAUAAAAUUAGUUUUAUUUUCAAUUUUAGUUGUUUUUAUUACUUUUAAUUAUAAGUAAUUCAAUUUUAAUAUAUCUUUUUAUUUCAAUCAUUCUCAACUAAAUAAUAUUAGUUAGGGGAAGGUGAAACUCUUAGGAAAUAAAUAUGAUUUAAUCAAAUUCUAUUUUUAAUUUUAUAAAUUAAAUUAUUUUCUAUUUAAUUUUAUACAUAUUUUAUAUUUUGAAAUUUUGAUUUAUUGUAGACAAACAAAUGAAUUUGACACAAUAAAUUCUUAAUAUCUUAAUAUAAGGUAUGGUAAAAUGAUUAUUUGACUUAUUGUAGACAAAUUAAAUUUUGGCACAAUAAAUACUUAAUCCAUCAUAAAAUUAAAGGGAAAAUAAUAAUAAUUUAUAUAAUUAAUCUUUUGGGCAAUAAAUGUAAAAAAAGGGCAAAAAAGAAUUUAUUAAGUUUUAUUUAAUUCUAAGAGUGGAUCCAUAACCCUAACUAGUUCAAUUUCAUAGUUUCAUUUAAAUUAAGUUGUUUAUAUUUAAGUUUUAAUUUUAAUUUUAAUUUUAAGUUAAAAUAAAGUAAACUAAUUAAAUCUUUUAUCUGUGGAUCGACCUCGGACUCACCGAGUUAUAAUACAACAAGACACUCUUAUACUUGGGAGUUAAAAAUUACUUUUAAGUUGUGUCAAAAAUCCUAAAAAAUUAUGAGUUAUUUAAAGUCAAUGGUCAAAGAUUAAAACCAUUUUUAGAGUUAAGAACACCAGAAGUUGAGGAGAUACUUUUAGAUGAUCGUGUUUACUAGGAUUCAUUAGUUCCAUUUUUAAAUUCUUGAUUUAUUUAAAUAGUAGGCUUUCUUUUCAUUAUUUGUUUUUCUUUUCUAGUAUUUUUCUUUUCUAAUAUUUUUUUUUAUUUGUCAUUUUCUUUUAAGCUUUUCCAGCCCAUUCAAGUGUGAUCUCUCCAACUUUUUCUUUUAUUAUUUAUAUUUUUUUCUUUUUCAUCUUUUUGCAUGCAUAUCUUUUAUUUAUGAAACAUUGAGGACAAUGUUUCAAAUAAAUUUGGGGGUGGGAAUAAUGUGUGCUUUAUUUGUUAUAAAAAAACCAAAAAAAUUUAAAAAAUUCAAAAAAAAUGUUUUUUUUAAUGUAAAAAGUCAAUGACAAGAACUUGAUUGACAAUGAAUAUGGUUUAUAGAAAUGAUUGAAUAUUGUCUUAGUUUAUAUUUGGUUCUUGUGUUAAUUAAUCUUGAAUGAGAUUCUUUAGACACUAUGAGCACUAAUAUUCUUUAAUAAUUUUGACUUGAAAUCUGAGAUUGACGCAGCUUGAGUUGAGAAUUUUAGAUAGAGUAAAUGACUGUUUAUCUCGAUUCUUAUCUUCACAAUACAAAAUAAUAUACACAGGUGCCAAAGUUAGAAAUAACUACCUAUAACCCUUAAGAGUGAAGCUAUCCUUGAGAAAUUUGGGCCUAUGUACCAUCAGUAUGUAGAGGAUAAUCCACCAUGAGAAGAAAGCUACCUUAAGGGUUAGAGUGACAGCUCCUGCUAUGGUUAUUAAAAAAAGAGAAAAAAAGGAAAAAAAGAAAAGAAAUAAAGUGCAUGUGUUGAAAUGAAAAAAAAAAGAAGAAGAAAAUGCACAUAAAAGCUUGUGGAAAAAAAAAUUAGAGCUCAAGAUGAUAAGAUUAGUUUGACCUACUCUUUUCUUUGUUCAAGGCGAAGGGUGUUGAUAUUGAAGAUUUUGAGAAUGAUUUUUAAUUGAAUUGAUUCACACACAUACUAUAAGAAUCAAAAGAGAGAUGAGAUUGACUGUUGAAUUAAAGUUAGAACUUUGCCAGUAUUUGAAAUUUUCUUUUAGCUAUAUAAGUUAUGCAAUCUUUGAGGUUAGUUUUAUAUUUUAUUUAAAGUCUGUUUUUCUUUUUAUGCUAUUUUAUUUUAAAAAAAUAUUUGUGGGUAUCAUCGCAAACCCUCACGAUACUAUAACUCAUCCACUAGGGCUGCCUAGGGAUUUAAAGGCUUAUUGCAUACGGUAAAUGCAAUUGCGAUCACCUGUAAAAGUGGUUAAGUUAGGAUUUACUUUUUGUUUCGUUCUUUUUAUUUUUAUUUUUAGUUUUAGUUUUGCUCGAGUACUAGCAAAAUCUAAGUUUGACGGUAUUUGAUGAGCAUAUAAUAUAUAUACAUUUUUUAUCCUUAAUUAUAUAAUUACUAGAUAUUUUUACUUUUAAUUUUUAAUUAAUUAAAUUAUUUUGUUGAAUAGGGAAUUAAUUGGAGAUUAUGGAUAAAAAGAGAAUGAAAAAGUUUAAAUUGAGAAGGAAUAAAGAUUAAAUUGAAAGAUGAAAAUACAUGCAAGAAUUAAUGGAAUCCAAGCCAAUGAAAUCAAAGCAAUUAAUUGAUCCAGCACGUGAAGACAAAAAAAGGGAUAAGCACAAGGAUUUACUUCAUGUCAUCAUUUAGGCAAGUGUUGAUUAUGCAAGCAAAGGAGUAAGGUAAGACAGCCACGUGAAGAGAAAUUAAGCAUAACAUAGGUGGCUUUAGCUUAAUUGGAGUGCACAUGAAAGUGUUUUUCAACUUCCAAAGUGGAAACAAAUCUAUGGCUUAUGGUGGCAUUAAUUUGGAAGAUUUAUUUUAAAAUUGGAAAAGGAUUUUAAUUAGUAUUCAAAGAGGAUUCAGUGGCUAAGCAUUAUAAAAAGUAACUUUAACUUCUGAAUUAAGGGGAGACGGAAGACACGCAAGGGAGGGGCAUUCGGUAAGAGAGAAGAGGAGCGGCAGCAGCAGUAGCAGUUUGGUUUCUCCAUUGCUUAUUUUAUUUUAGUUGUUGCUCUCAAUCUAAGUAUAUUUAACUAAUUUUCUUAUACUAAGGUUAAUGAUGAAACCAUAUUCAAUGAAAUAAUUAUCUUUUUAUUUAAUUAUUUCCCUACAUAUGUUCUUUAAUGUUUAUGGUUCUUUGUCACAUGAUUGGUUGAAUGUAAUUAAAUUUUUUCACCAAUUCUGUCAUGCAUUAUUGAUUGUUAGGAUUUAUAUUUGACUAUAUCUAUGCUUGGAUCUAUAAAGUCUAUAUAUGAUUAUCUUUGAUUCUAUGUCUUUCAUUAAAUUUUUUACAUAGAGCGCUUAGGAAAAUUUUGACUCUUUGUUAUUCAAUAUGCUUACAUGGGAUGUUUAGAUAUCAUACUAUUAAGCAGAAAAAGAACUUACAUUAGAUUUAAUUAAUUAGGCUUAAUUGUUAUAUCCAUGAGAUGACAUAGAUUGAUUUCAAGUUGCCACUCUAAAAUUGGGGAUUAAUUAACAAUUAGAUAAUUACUAGUUGAAUAGUGGUGGAUUCUAAAACCUUAGUAAUUUUUGUCUUAUUGAAUUCUCCUUUGCUUUAAUUGUUUUCUUAGUUUAAUUUCUCUUAAAACUCAAUUUGCUCAAUUAGGUUAGGAUUAAUAUUAAUUUUAGAUUUAAAUUAGACUUUUCAAUUUAUAACAAUUUAUGUGAGUUCGACCUCGUUACCACUAUUCUAUUUUUAAAUUCGUGUGCUUGCGAGUAUAUUAAAAUUGUUGCACAAACCUAAGCUUCGCCUAUAAGCAAGGACAACGAGAUGCUCAAGCACAAAUUUCAUAUGAAAAAACAAGAUAUUGACAUGUUUGUUCUUUUCUGUUUUCCGGUAUGAAUGUCCUUGUUAAAGCGAGAAUUUUAAUCAAUAAAGAAAAGAAAACAUCAAUUACGAACAAAUUAGGGGACAUAAAAUAAUGGGAAAUUUAUAAAAAUGGCCACAAAACUUUUGUAUUUUUCAACUUUAACCCCCCAAAAUUUUUUCAAUCAACAUUAGCCAAAUCCCAAAAUUGAGGACCAAACUACCCUCAUCACUCUCACAUUUCUCUCAAGCCCAAUUCCUCCCCCUCUCACUAAAAUCUCAUCACCGAAAUCCCGUAUACAUCGUCGGCGGCUGAAAUAAGCUACAUCACGUUCAAAAUCUUCGGAGAUCUCCAAAAUCAAAGACUAAAAUUGAAAACCCUAGGUGAGUUAUUGAAAACCUGAAAUUGUUGUGUUUUGUUGUUGUUGUUGUUGUGUUGUGUUGGUGGCAUUGGUGAUGGAUUGAGUCUUUAGGCUGUUGUUGGUGUUUAAUAACGGUGGUGGGUGAGAUGCAUGUGGGAAAGGAAAGGCUGGCAUGCGAGCGGGAUGCGGUUGUCGAGUGCAUCUCACAUGCGACAGGUCCAUCUGAGCGCGCGGGAUGCGCAUCUCGCGUGUGAUAGGCCUAUCCGCGGGCACAGGAUGCACAAGUCGUGUGCAUCUAGUGCGCGACGUGUGCGCACCAACCUGCGCGCUAUCUCGAGCGCGACAGGCCACGCGCUUGGUGCCUGUCGUACUAUGAGGCAGCACCUCUUGCUGUGACAACAACACCUUUUUUUCUGCUUUUGUUGGUAAUUUAUUAACAUGUAAUAUUUUUAACUUGUAAUAGAUAAAUGGGCAAAUCAAAAAUAGCAUUGCAUAAUCCACCCGAACCGAGGAAAGAACCGGAAAUGAUGAAGAUACCUUAUGGCGAUCAUUUUCCCGGACGUAUCACGAGUAUGUGCAAAUUAGAUGUCAUUGUUAAUGCCAUCUAGGAAAAAUUAAUAAAGCGGCAGUUGAAACUGUUCAAAGAUGAUAUAUUUAGGUAUUUCCUCUAAUGCCGACGCUAUCCGUUCAGUGGCGUAAUUGUCCAUAAUAUAUUGCUUCGGCAAGUGUCCCAUGGCACUGGAAAUGACAAAGAUUAGUUAUGAUUUUAAGUUGGUGACCAUUUGGUACGGCUAUCGAUUGGAGAGUGGUGCCUAGUAAUGGGACUUUGCUAUGACGAAGAUGUUGUGCUGAUAAAACAUAAAACAAUGCAUAGAUUACUUAAGAAAUAUUUUGCCGGCAGGUUUCACGAGAUAAAUCUUGGCCAGUUCGAGCAAAGAUUUGUGGACUUAGACUUCAGGGCUAUGGAUGACACCAAUGCGCUAAAAAAUUGUCCUGUUUUACUUUGUUGGUAGAGUACUAAACAGGAGAAAAGAUCAUUGUCAAAUCAAUUUCAAUUUGCUUAACGAGGUAAAUGACAUAAAUCACUUUCGAAGUCAUCCGUGGGGCCGUUUGUCAUGGCAAACAAUAUAUGAAAGCCUUGAUAAUGAAAUGAACGACAAAGCCAAUAAAUUUAAGAAGGAAUGCGCACAAAAUCCCUCAUAUAAAAUUGAAAAAUACAAUAUUUAUAGCUUUACGUCUGCAGUGCAUGUGAGUGAAGAAUUUAUUUAUUUUAUAACUUAACUUUGUUAUGAUGAAUAUUUAAUGAAACGUUUUUUGACUUUAUAUCUUUCCUUGUUGAGGGCAUGAAUUUUUGAAGCGAUUGGAGAACUACCAUUACAGUGGGUGGUGAAAAUUAAGAGGAAGGGUCCUCGGAUCGUACGAUGGAAGCCCAUGGCUUCUUCAAAUAUAAACUUCGGUGAAGUCUAUUCAUACCUCAAUGAGCAUCUUGUAAGUAAUUUAUAUAUAAUUGUAUGUAUAUAACUAUUAAAUACUAGAUGAUUAUACUAAUUGAAAAUUUGGUAUGCUUUACGAUAGGAUGACAACAUUUUACAAACCAUCGAACCUGAUGAAAAGGAGAGAGUCACAAAUUAUUGGAAGAGUGUCGAGGAUUACGUGCCAUAUAUGCCAAGUUGGGUUCGUAAUGUGGGUAUCCUUUACAGCAUCAUUUAAAAGAUAAACAAAAUUGAAAUUUUUUUUUAUUUACUGUUUUUUUGUUUUACUUGGUAUAGCACCAGCCUUUAAUUAACGCGCCAUCCAUUACAGGGACAAAAGAGGUAGAUCAUGACACCACGAGCCAAACACAACUGCAGCAGAGUCCCAUUGAGGAUGACUUUGCUUUCGACGACCAUUACGAAUCCGCACACGAUUCAGAUGACACACAUGAGCCGGAGGUUACUUCCGAACUUAAAUGAUCAUUUUGUUUCAUCAAAUCUAACUAACUUUAGUGCUUUCUCAUUACUUUCUUAUUUCGUGAUAAUAGGCAAGGACAAAGUUCUGCAAUGAUUAUUUUACUCAACGGUUGGACAGAAUAGAGUGUUCCAUUCACGAACUGAGGUCGGAACUUCAGGCAUAACACAAUUCCAUUAAAGAUCUGAGGUCAUAACUUCAGGCAGAACACAGAGACGCACAAAGGUAUAAAGAAGCGGUCAUGGGGUUUAUGACUUCAUUUGGCGCGGGUUCUUCUAAGGGCGCGUACGGUGAUUCUCCGUUUGGGCGCUUGUACACGGUGAGCAAGUUUCACACGCUUCGGUUAUGUUAUUUUGCUUUCAAAAUCGAAAUUAGUUUAAUAUAUUCAUCGAAUCGAAUCGACAGGCCCUAGAUGGCUAUGGUCCGAACGCUGAUACUGGCUACGGUACGAACACUGAUGCUAGUAAUGAUGAUGAUCACACCCCUAUGUAGUUGUACAGUCUUUAUGGGGACAUAAGUGGUGACAGUGUACAGAUAUUCACGGAGGUACCUCCUGGUGUAAGUUUGGACAACCAUACAGACCGUCGUAUAUCUUUGGCAGUCCUUACUUGAUUCCUCCUUUCAAGAGUGUUAGGAUGUCAGGCGUCUACCAGCACUCAAAAUUACGGACUAUGAGUUUGAUGACAGAUCGAGUGUGGAUAUAAAUCCGUUUAGGGGACUAGAAGAUUCAAGGCUAUGUGAGGAGUUUGAUCAGUGGUUUGCCGGUAGAAUUUUCCUGGAUCGGCUCGUCCAACAGUCCCGAAAUUUCUUUGAAAUACUCGUGGGCAAUGCUUCGAUGGGGUGACUUAGUAACGAGGUAAGUGUGCUUAAUGGUCAACACAUUACAAUAUUGUUCAUCUUUUCGCUGGCCUAAAUUAUGUUCUAAAUUUACUUGGUUUAAUCCCUCCACAGCAUAUUCACACAUUUUACCUCUUGAUCAGUGAGAAGCAACGACAAUUUCCAAAUGCAUUACCGCAACGCAUCACGCGUACAGAUACAUAUUUUUGGGUAAUGAGUUUACGAACUCUAUAAUCAUUAACUAUAAUGUCGAUGCUUACAAUAUCUCAAAAUCUUAUUAAUUUCUUACUCAUCGUGCAAUAGGUGUUCCUAAAGUAAUUAUGUAACAAUGGUAGCUGUGAUGUCCAUUCAUUACAAUAUGGCAACAACUUAAACAUCUAUAUGGAUGGGCAGGAAGAUAUCAUGUCGAAACCAUUUACGGACGUCGAUGUGGUUUGUAUUGUCACUCAAUCUUAUGGUAGCUAUGUAUAAAAUAUGAUAAUUUAAUAUUUUAUGUAUGUAGAUAUUCAUCCAUGUGAAUUUCGGCGACAAUCAUUGGGUACUUGCUCGAGCGAACCUUCGCACGAAGAGGGUGCGGAUUUAUGACUUGUUGGUUAGCUUUCGCGACGAAAAAAUAUAUUUGCAUAAAUUCAAGCCUUUUCAGGUCGUCUUCACUCAAUAGCUUCAAGAUGUUGGAUUCUAGAACAUCUUACCAGAGUUGCAGAGUGCUAACCUUUGGAAAGUAAGAAUCGUUAAGGAUGUGCCCCAACAAGAACCUGGAAAUGGUGAUUGUGGUGUUUUUAUGUUGAUGUUUACAAUGUAUUUGAUGUUUGGGCUUAAACUUGAUUUCGAUGGUAGCCAUGGGCAUUACUUCAGGAAUAAAAUUGCUGUAGAUAUAUUUACAAGCGAUAUUGCCUUGUAAGUCAUUGUACUGUGUUGAGACUUGAUGUAUCGAUGUAGAUUAUUUUAAUGGAUACAAAUUUUUUUUAAAUUCAUAUGUUUAGCCAUAAGUAAUUAUUGAUCUAUUUUAGUACUUAUUAUGCAAAUGAACAUAAAAUAAAAUACCUCAUUAUAUAUAAUUGUAAAAUACACCAAAAUAAGAGUUCAAAGUCCAUAAUUAGUUAGAAUGAUACAGUUAGUUUGGAUUCGACACAAUGAAAUUUUUACAUCUCUUACGGUCAUGACCUAGUUGGCUGCAUCGCCCGCAUCUCACAGUUCUUCGGUUAACAUCCUCACCGAUAGAAGGUAUUCUUAACUUUGGAAAAAGAUGAAGUGGUGAUGCUUUGAUCAGUGGGCUAACUCUGAUUUCCUGGAUUUCUUCUGGUAUGUCUCAAUCUGUCAUGUCGCCAACCGGCUCUACUGGUUCUGCAUAUGCCAUGACCAAUGAAUCUUUAGAGUAAUAAUCAAAGCAAAGACUUAUGUAAUCCACGAGGAUGGUCAGACAAGCAGCAAUUGCAUGCGCACAAACAAGCUAAUCGAGUUGGAAUAAUCUACAAGAGUAAGUCUUUUCAUAAAUGUCAAUUAUCCAUUUCUUUAUACCACCACCCAAAACAUGGAAUCAAUGCUGAGACACAGGAUGAACAGUCAUUCUUUCGGCCAAAAUUCUCCUUUCGCUGACUAUCUCAUCUGCCCACGUCGUUAGACGAGUGCUCAUCGAUUCAGCCAUAAUUUUCCUAUCAUAAAACCAUUGUUGUAAUGUUUUUCUAAAGUGAUCAACAAGGUGAGUACCAGGAAAUUUUCGCAGUUCCUUCAUUAAAGAAUUCACGCUUUCCGCAAUGUUGACGGUAAGUAUACUAUAUCUCCUACCUUCAAAUUCAAACCUUGCCUAAUUACGCGUACCCACAUUAUUCUCUAAGUAAUCAGUUGCGCCUAAGUGAAGCAUCCACAACCCUUCAAGUUGCCUUUUAAAUUCUUCAUGUCCAUAUGCCUUUGCUGCAUUAAUAAAGGUUGGCUCAAAUUGAUCCCAAAGAGCUUUGGACAUCCUGAAUUUUGACUUAAAGUUGCCUUUGACAUGGUAAAAAUAAAUUCCAUAAGCAGCAGUGUGAAAUGCUUUCAAAAUGGCUCUCUUAAUCUUUCCGUGUAACUUUAUCAUAAACCAUUCUCAAGCAUCAUUAUUUUCUGAAUCCAUGACCCCAAUAGCUAACGGAUACAGUUGAUUAUUACCAUCCAGAUAUGUUGCUACAAACAUGCUUCCACGAUAUAGCCCCUUUAGAUGAGUGUCAUCUACAACGAUCACAGACCUACUGUACUACGUGAAGCCCUUGAUAGAAGAUCCAAGUGCUAUAAUGUAUUAUAAGAAAUUAUCAUUUCCAUCCCGCUUCCAUCCCGCUCGAGGUGUGUGACUGUACCCUCAUUCGUUUUGGUCAAAACGUGAGAGUGUUUGGGAAGUAAGUUGUAUGACUCUACAGGGCUCCCUCGUACUAUUUCAAGACCAACUAUUUUAGCCCGGUAUGCUUGCUGAUAUGUUAACUGGACAUCGUAUUCAUCCUGCAUGUCUGCUCUAAUGUCAUUCGGCGUGUAUAUCCGUUUGUCCUAAAUAAAUUUAUCUGCGAUAAGAUGGCCAACAACCCGACUCCUUACUUGAAGGAGACCACUAGGCAAUAUCUCAUUAGAGCACGUGUGAACAUUGUCAACUCUUCUCACUACCCAAGGGACAUUCUGCUCAUUUGAAUCUCUCAUUGCACGAAGAUGUUAUUUACAUGAUUCCGAAGAACAGUGGGCCUCAAAGUGUGUCGUUAUGGAUCGUGCAAUCUUGAAAUCAAACUUUUCCCGCAAGGCCACUUUGCCCAAUUCCAGUAUUAACUCAUUCUUCUCAGCGAACAACUUACCCACACCAAUGUCAGCUAAAUUACAACUUCUAACUAAGUUUGGAGCAACCAAGUUUAAAGGCAAAAUUGGAGCAAGACUCACGAGGGGAUUAACUGUUAUCCUCCUCCUCGAACGGGCCAUUGGAAGAAUAGGUUGGUUGUCUCUAUUAUUAAUAGGAAUAUCAUACCGAUGCUCAUCCUCAUCAUUGAUAAGAAUAUUGGAAUGACCAAUACCCUUAUCAUCAACUUCAAUAUUGGAGUUCAUGCCUUGCAUACUAUUGAAUGGUUCCAAACAAGCAUUAUCAUAACUGCGGACGUCAUAACUGCGGAUAAUCAUUAUUGUGAAAUGGAGAGUAAUGUUGCCCUAACAAUGUCCCUAAUGGUAACACAUCUUCUUCAACAUCCACUAACGUAAUGUCGUUCUCAUCAAUGAUGUCAUUGUUUUCGUUGAGUGGAUAGUAACGUUGUUAGAACGACAUUUGCUGUGGUAAUACCUCUUCCUUAAUAUCGAGGACAGACUCAUUUGCUCUAAACGAAGUUUCACUUUCCACAAGUGGUUCAAGAUUUUCGGUCGGAACUCGAGGAGAUGUGGUGACAAAUAUAGGGAUGCAUCCAUAAUUGACCACAUCAGAGCCCAUGUGUAGCACAACCUUAACCAUUUCAUCAUUAAAUAUGUCCAUAGGUAGUGAACAUGCACGAUACAUUGUGUUACUAGACCUCAAAAUUGUCUUCAUCGUCAUACUAUAUUCGUUAGAAUUUAUCUGUAAAACUUCAUAUACCCUUGCCAGAUAUUGCUCAAACUUACAAUCUUUUCGAACUAAAAAUGUUGUAUUCUUGGCAUUCACGUACUCCGUACGACCAUCUAUUAACGUCUCUCAUCAACCGUGGUAACAUAAUUGAAGCACAACGAAAUCCAUUAAACCUAAAAAUUAUAUAAAAAAACAAAAGAUAUAAGAUUACAUGCUACAAAAUAGAUAAAGUGAAUAUGCACUACAUUUAUAUAGCUGAAAUGAAGUAUAUGAUUUUAGAUUUAAUUUGUCUCGUCGUAAGCUUCGAAACGGUAUAUUAUACGCCAAAAAUGGACACAUGUAGCCCAAGUAAUGAUUUUCAGAAAAUAGCUUAAAUUUAGUGGGACAAGCAGUGGGACAAGUGCUUGUCUCACAUAAAACCAGUGGAAACAAGUGAGACAGGCAGUGGGACAGGCGCCUAUCUCACAAAAAACCAGUGGGUUUAUGUGCGACAGGCGCCUAUCUCACUUGUUCUGGGUUUUUUUUUUUGCUUGAUUUUUUAAGGGUUUCAAUUAUUUAUCUUCAUUUCUCAACUCAAACUAAGUACUUUAACAAAUCACUUUGUUUUAUUAAUGAAAAAUAACAACUUUUGCAACAAAAACCCACUUUAAUUUCGAACUUAAAUGAUAAAAUCAAUAGAUUAAAAGUUUAGGUUAUGGUAAGAGCAUAAACUAACCUUAAGAAGCUCUCAAAUUGAUAAUUAUAUCUUCAAUUAUGCAAUGCUUGUUUGAUGGAAUUUGUUGAUUUAUUGAGAGUGAUGGAGUUUGUUGAGAGUGAUGAAGUUUGUUAAGUUGUUAAGGAAGAUCCGUAUUUAGUUGUGCUGGAAUUGAAAAAGUGGCAUACCUUUGUAAAUUUGAUGAAAGUGAUGAAGGUAAUUUAAUCCAAAAAUAGGAUGUUUGGCUAGUUAUGAUAGAAAAAACUUUGGGAGGUCAAAAUUGAAAAAUGCAAAAGUUUUAUGGCUAUUUUUAUAAAUUUUCCUAAAAUAAUGAGGAGCCUAUUCCCGCUAAAAGAGACAUGACAUUAACUUGUUAGCACAAACAACCAUUAAUUAAUUUUAUAAUAUAUAAUUAAUUAAAUUUGUGAUCAAGUAAAAGCAUAUUAAUAUAAUUAUUCAAACAAUCUAAAGAGAAAUUUAGUCAAGAUUGACGGGCGAAAUUAUAAUUUCCAAGGAAUUUUUUAUGAGAUAUACUAAAUUAAUUAUGUUGAAUUAUGCAUAUGGACUCCAUCCACAACGGUUGGGAAAUAGAAGAAAUUUUAGGUAGUUCAAUUAUUUCCAUACUGAAGAGGUUUCAAGCUGGUCAACAUACACCUUUGGCAAACCAUCUCUAGUUAUAAAAAUCUUAAUCCCAACUUGAACUAGUUAUAAAUAAGAAUAAAUUCCAUAUUAUAAUAAAUUAUAAUUUUUUUAGAUUUCAUUUUAAGGAACUUGCCUCCAUAUAGUAAUAAUUAUCUGUAUGUUACAAAAAAUAUAUGCGUGUUUUUUAAAAUUAUAUCUAUCCCUAUUGUCAAUGCCUAUCCAUAUUAUUUGACUUGCUCUAUUAUUAAAUUAUUAAUAUAAUGCAUAUUUUACCUCUAUAUCACUUGUACUAAAGGUAGCUAAUAAAAACAAUAAUUUUUUUAACUAUACCUCUUUUAAGUUAUAACUAGGGGUGGGCAAUUUCGGAUUCGGAUGAAUCCGAUCGGAUUUCGGAUAAUUCGGAUUGAAAAAAAAUUCAUCCGAAUUUUCAUCCGAUCCGAAUAAUUCGGAUCGGAUGCGAAUAAUUCGGAUCGGAUGAGUUUGGAUUUCGGAUUCGGAUUAUAUUUUGGAUUCGGAUUAAUUCGGAUUGAAAUCGGAUUUGGACCUUUGUCACAAUUCUCACAAAAAAAUUAUGAAAUCUAUAAUUAAUGAAAACUUAUUAACCAUUAAAAAAAAAAGAAAAUGAAAACAAGCUAACAAAUGACAAUCUAAUAAUCUAUAUUGUAUUGUUUCCUUGACAAUAUGGCAUUGACAUAUACCAAGAAAACAAGCCGAUGCAAAGUUUCCAUUCACAAAAAAAAAAAAAAAAUAUAAAGUUAUAAACCAUUAAAAUGAAAGCAUUUAAGUAAUCAAAUCUAAUAAUCUAAUAAUUUAUAAUCAACGACCCAUUUAUAUUCUCAUAUGCAUUCAUUUUGUACAAACACUCCCAUUUCAUUUAAUUAGUAAUGCUCUUACAAGUUAGGUGCAUAAACAUUACUCCAAGUCCAAGACUCCAAAUAAGCAACAUAAAAUAAACAUUGCUCCAAGUCUCUCAAUAAACAACACAAAAUAAACUUUGCUCCAACUCUAAGUCUCCAAGUAAACAACACAAAAUAAACAUUACUCCAAGUCUCCCAACAAACAACACAAAAUAAACAAUUAAACAUUACUCCAAGUCUCCAAAUAAAUAAACAACACAAAAUCACAAAAUAAAUAUUAUCAUUAUAUCAUCCAACAAUAAAAUAAACCAAAAUAAAAAUUAUCAUCCAAAAACAUUUAGAUAGACUACAAGUUCCUCAAACCAAAAGUACAAUAACAUCAAAUUAAACUCACAACACACUUUGAUGAGUCCUUAACUUUUGCUUUCCAACUACCAACUUCAAUUUUCCUAACAUAAGAUCACAAACAAUUAUCAUGUUACAAUUGACUUAAAACCAAAAGUAAAACAAUUAUAAAUAUAAUACCUUGAAACCAAAAGAUUGAAUAAUAUAAAAAAUGUGUUAUAAUAAAUUUAAAAGGUAUUCUAUAUAAAAUGUAAUAUAAAAAAGUUACCCUCUUGUAACUCCAUUUGAUAUAUAUGAUCUUUCAACUCUUGAUUAAGGUCGUAGAUAGGAGUGGCAAAAAGUUUAGACUGCAACCAAUUUUCAGUGCAAAUCAAUGCUUCAAUCAUAGUGGGAGUUAAAGAACUCCUAUAUUCAUCAAUGAUACGACCCCCAAGGCGGACUCCGAAGCCACAGUGGAUACCGGAAUUGCAAGGAUAUCCCUUGCUAUUUUCUGCAAUAUCGGAUACUUCGACCCGUUCACCUUCCACCAUAAUAAAACAUUUAGUUUAUCAUUACUAGGAUCUUCAAUCGGGUUAAGUAAGUAUCUUUCCACCUCGGUCGUCACAAGCUUACCCUCGUUUUGAAUUAAAACUUUCUUAGCAUAUCCAAGAAAAGGACGAGCAACUCGUAAAGUUUCAUCACCAUGUUCCAUUAUGUACCCUUGUUGCCGAUCCGUGUCAUCUAUAAGGUGCGGAGAAGAACUAGAACCGCCACCACCACCACUGGCACUGCCACUACGAAAACUCUCACUAGGCAAUGGUGGUGAGGAGUUCCAUCCACUAUAUGCAUCAAAAAGUGAAUUCAACAAGCCUUUCAUCACUGCGACCAUUUCUUCAAUCUUUGCACUAUCAUUGGAAAAAAUCAUACUAAAAAUAUGUUUAGUAAAAUCCAUUUUGCAGCGCGGAUCAAGUAUUGAGGCAAUAAUCAAGAUUUUGUUGAUUUUCUCCGUGCACUCCCAAUAUUUGUCAUAUUUUUCCCUCGUACUAGAAGCCAUCAAAUGCACAUAAACAUCUUUGCUUUUUUCUAAUGCACUCAAUGAAUUCUCGAUUAAGCCAAUUGUAUCGUAACAAAGAUUAGAAGUGACACUCAAAGAGGCUGAAAAAGUCAAUGUAGCAUCAUAAAAGAUCUUUAAAAACCUCACAAUUCUUUCGGCAUGUUCCCAAUCUUCAAGCUCAGGUGGCCCCACCCUUUUUUUCCUGUUUUCUUCCUCUCUAAAGUAUGCUUCAUACAGUUUAUCCACUUCCGCCAUCCUCUCAAAUGGCUCCCGAAAUUUCAAAGCAGUCAUCAACAUCAAAUAGGUGGAAUUCCACCUAUUGAUACAAUCCAAAACCACAGUCCCAUUAGGGCCUUUCACAUGAUCUACACACUGUUUAAAUGCUUUUAAUCUCGAAGAGGAUGAUCUUACAUACUUCACAACAUUCCGAAUACCGGCAACUGAGGCAUGCAACUCUUUUAACCCCCCAGUGACAAUCAAAUUUAAGAUAUGUGCACAACAACGCACAUGCAUGUAAUCACCCCGCAACACAAGUGCAUCAACAUUCUUCCACAUAAGCAUUUGGUUCUUCACAUAAUCAAUAGCAACAUCAUUGCCCGACGCAUUAUCAACAGUUAUUGCACACACCCUCUCUAUUCCCCAUUCAAGCAAACAAGACUCAAUCUUUUUGCCAAUGGACUUCCCUUUAUGGUCUUCAAUCACGCUGAAACUAAUAAUCUUCCUAUGUAAACACCAAUCACUAUCAAUAAAGUGAGCUGUGAUUACCAUAUAACUCAUGUUCUGAACUGAAGUCCAUAUGUCAGUUGUAAGAGACACUCUAUGCUUAUUCUUACAUAUCAAACUCUUUAAAAUUCCUUUUUCUUCUAAGAACAUAUCCAUAACAUCUCUACUAAUAGUUCUCCGAGAUGGCAUAAAAAACUGAGGAACAGCUACAUUGCAAAAAUGCCUAAACCCUUUGUUGUCAACAAAAUUAAGCGGCAACUCGCCCAAGAUAAUCAUUUUACUGAGUGCCCUUCUAUAAGCUUCUUGACUCAAUCCUUUGGCC